rnacentral:lncRNA from 1 species
CACAACAAAAGAAAAAUCCAACAACAGACCAUAAGUAGUUCAAGCACAAGUUUGCAAGACUGAACAAUCAGAGGGGAUCAUCUAGGGGCUUAAAUUUAUCAAGUAAUAAGCACUUCUAUGCAGCUGGCAAAAGAACAGACUGGGGAAAUGAUUUAGACCGACAAUUUGGGGCACCCUGCAUGCCAAGAAUGGAAGUAACAAAAUUAUGAAUCUGAACAUUCUAUAAGGAACACACUUUCCUUCCCCUAGCAAACUGAGGACCGUGCCCAAUAAAAAUGCUCCUCAUUGAGAAAAUUGCAUUUUCAUAACCAUGUGCUCUUCCCCAAUACUCGUCCCUCUGCCUUCCUUUGCUUCACCGUAAAACCCUCGUCAACCAACCCCAUUAUCUACGGAAUCCUGACUCUUGAUAUACUUUCCUCCUCGACGAAAUUAUGCCAACAAAAACUUUUCUCUCUCCAACUUCUUUAAUAUUCAUGUGUCACUCAUUCCUUAAUGUAACCUACUUGGCAAGUCCUCUUUAAGAUAAACUUUCAAACUCUUCCUAUUCUCAACUUCCCCCGAAUCCAAUCCUUUAUUCAACUGCUCAACAGUUUUUGUUUGAUUAUUGUGCCCAGCUGGUGGCCAAAUUGCAAGCAAUGGACUAAAAUAGUGAUCCAAAGAAGCAGGAAUUUCAAAUCCAAGUGGCCAAGUCAUCUAAGAAUAUUACCUUCUCACAUCUAGCCACAAUUCCAUGAUCACCAACCAUAACAAUUGUCACAUCUUCAAAGGCCCCUCUUUUUCUUAAGCCAUCAGUCAAUCUCCAAAUCAUUGAAUCAAUGCUAGCGACGGCCUCGGUUGUUUCCGAAUCAUCCUGGGCCAACUUGAUAUGGCUUUGACUAUCAGGAUUGUCAAAAUAUAAAGCUAUAAACACAUGAUUUUCAGCAUGUUGGAUAAAAGUGACUGGAAUUGUUUAAUAUUUAUUUGCAGGAAAAUUUGAAAAAAUAGAACUAACAACUUGCAUGCGUUCUGCUGGCAAUUUUUAGUUAGUAUCGUUUGAAAUUUGCAUGGACAUUAAAUGCUGGCAUGAUGAUCUCUUCCACUUCUCUUGCAUUUGAAUGAAUGGAUGAGUGUGAAUGCAUGCAAAGAUUUUUGACUUUCAUGGAUGCACAAUAAAUGCCACAUCAAAGACAUGGUAAAAUGUCGGCAAGCUUGGUCCAAGUUAUCAAAAUUCGGUGGCAGCAAGAUUUGAUCAUCCGGAUAUUCCUUCGGCAAUGAGAAAGCCCCAUCAUGUAAAUUGAGAGCUCACUGAAUUGCAAAGACAAGAGACGUCGGUGAAUAAUUAGAAAGUUAGAGAAAGAGAGUGAACUGAGUUUGUGGGGAGAUUUGGAUAUAAUUGGGGUUUGGUUGUGAGAUAAAAUAAUAUGAAAGUGUGGUUGUAAUAACUUUUCUCAUAAAUAAAAUUGUUUUAUCUUGUCAUCAUUUUGCGGCUGUGGUUUUUACUCAGAUAAAAGAGUUCUCCACAUAAUUUUGUAUUGUGUAAUUAGUGUUUUCUCUAUUUUAUUUUUCCAUUCAUUAUUUGUUUGAUAUAUUGCUAAUAGAGAUCUUGGGUGAGAACCAAAAAUUCCCAACACAGCCACAGUUUCAUUUUAUUUUUAUUCCAAAAUCUUCAGGGUAAUCCCAAGAACCUUUAUGAACCUCAGAGCCAGCCCAAAAAUAAGCAGCAGCUUUCAACCCUUUAUCAGCCACAGAAUCCCACAAUGGCUCCCCAAGGCCCAAGCCACCACUUUGGGGGAAAAAUUAUCACCUGUGUGAGGGUCCACAAAACGGUUGUUGAUGAUAAUGAUUAGGGAAAGUGUAAGAAGGGAAAACGGCGAUCAACCCCUUUCAGCUUUGGUUUCAGUGUUGAUCAGACGGUGGAUGUUCGGUGAUGAGGUCUUGAUCUGCUUCCCGAAACGAAACCCAUCUGAUGAAAUCAAGAAAAGAAGUGGCUUGUAUGUCUCAGUUUCUUAUUGAGAGCACCAAGAUAUGUUGUUUGAUCAGCAGAAGAGAACAGGGAAGUAAAGGCUGCAGCUGCUGAAAGACCAAUGCAGAAUCUUGAGCUACUACUAAUCAAAGGGGUUCUUAUUUGAUUUUGUUCAUCUUCUUAUUCUCUACAAAAUUUGUCAAUUUGAUACAAGCUAUCAUUUUUGCAAUAUGUCACUCGGAUCGAUUUCUUUUUCCUGAAAGAUAAAGAGUUGAAAUGAAAUCGAAUAGAUUUAAGCAAAUGUGAACAAUUUUUUAUAUAUAGGAAAAAGCUGUUAUUGAUUAAUAUUCUACUAUUUGAAUUUGCGCACAAAUUGUAUUGAAAUUUUCUAUUUCAACAUAAACAUUCACCUAAUUAUGAAUUGCUUAAUUUAAAUAAUUGCAUAAAAAAAUUAUACCAAAUUAAUUUUUUUUUUUUUUAGCGCCUAAACCCUCUAGAAUCCAAGGUCGAUUGGCCAAGAAAAAUUUUACAUUACACGUCUUUCCUAUAACAAAACACAUCCAUAUUAAUUUUGAGGGAAAAAGGACAUCUAUAGCCUUAACAUUUAGAAAAAAAAAUUAUUACAAAGAUCCCAAAUUUUUAAUAAAGGAUACCAAAAUUCUCUUUUGACCAUAAUAUCAUCUAACUUUAUAAACCUAAAAAAAAAUUGAUCCCAAUAAAUGUAACAAUAUAUGAUAUUAAAAUAAAUGUAAUAAGAAUAACUAUUUAAAAAUAUUUUUAUAUUUUACAACUAUUAGAUAUUUUAUUGUAUCAAAGUAAUUUUUAAUAAUAAAUAGAAACGUAAUUUCAAAAUAAAUAAAUUAAAAUUAAAAUUAUUUUGAAUAUUAUGUAAAAAAUAAUUUGUAUUAAUUAUUAACAGUGAGAUAUUUUGCUAAUUGUAAAAUCUAUUUAACCCAAAGGUUUAUUUAAAAAUCUUUGUAAUAAAUACAAAUAUAUCAUUUAAAAUAAAUAUAAUAAUUUAAAAUUGUAAUAUUAUUUUAAAUGUUAAAAAUACUUUAAUAUGAUCAGUCUUCUAAACAAAUUAUAUUAUCUAUAUUAUAUUUGUAUUAAUUAAAAAAUUUAAAGUCAAUUUUCCAGGUACUAUAAUAAAAAAGUAUUAUGAUCAAAAAAGGGAGUCACAGUAUUCUGUACAAAAAUUUUAAGAUUUACAUGACCAUUUUCUCAAAUAUUAGAGAUGUAGGCGUCAUUUUCUUCAAUUUUAAGUUAGUGAAUCAAAACUUCACGUUUACUUGUUAAUACGCGUAAAAACUCAAUGGAGUUUCAAAUAAAAAACGCAUUGGAAUAUAGUUGAAGUCGGGUCUAGGGGCGCGACUACAGUACAUCCAUGUAUCUCAUACAUGCAUAAAAAAUAGUCAUUGGAGUAGAUCGAAUGGCUGAGAUUUUUUAUUAUUAUUAAAUAUGAAAGAAAUGGAAACCUGAAAAACCGGUAAACAUGAAACAUGAAACAUGAGACCAAUAAACAUGAAACAUCUACCAUUUACUUGAAACUGGAUCAUUAAACUUGAAACCAAAUAAACUUGAAACUAAGGGCAAUGAACUUGAAACUGAGGGCAAUGAACAUGAAACUUAGGAUCAUUAACUUGCAACCCCGAUUAAUGGACCAAUAAACAUGAAACAUCUUCCAUUAACUUGAAACUGAGAUCAUUAAACUUGAAACCAAAGGAACUUGAACUUAGAGUAAUGAACAUGGAACUUUGGAUCAUUAACUUGCAACCCCGAAAAUCAUGCAAUUAAUGGACCAAUAAACAUGAAACACCUACUAUUAACUUAAAAAUGGGACCAUUAAACUUAAAACCAAAUGAACUUGAAACUGAGGACAAUGAACAUGGAACUUGGAAUUAUUAACUUGCAACCCCGAAAAUCAUGCAAUUAAUGAACCAAUAAACAUGAAACACCUACCAUUAACUUGAAACUGAAACCAUUAAACUUGAAACCGAAUGAACUUGAAACUGAGGGCAAUGAAUAUGAAACUUAGGGUAAUGAACAUGAAACUUAGGAUCAUUAACUUGCAACCCCAAUUAAUGGACCAAUAAACAUGAAACAUCUACCAUUAACUUGCAACUGGGAUCAUUAAACUUGAAACCAAAUGAACUUAAAAUUGAGGGCAAUGAACUUGAAACUGAGGGCAAUGAGUAUGAAACUUAGGAUCAUUAACUUGCAACCCCAAUUAAUGGACCAAUAAACAUGAAACACCUACCAUUAACUUGAAACUGAGACCAUUAAACUUGAAACCAAAUGAACUUGAAACUGAGGGCAAUGAAUAUAAAACUUAGGACCAUUAACUUGCGAACUUGAUUAGUAGACUAAUAAAUAUGAAACAUCUACCAUUAACUUGAAACUGGGACCAAUAAACUAGAAACCAAAUGAACUUGAAACUGAGGGCAAUGAACAUGAAACUUAGGAUUAUUAACUUGCAACCUCAAUUAAUGGACCAAUAAAUAUGAAACACCUACCAUUAACUUGAAACUGUGACCAUUAAACUAGAAACCAAAGGAACUUGAAAUUUAGAGUAAUGAACAUAGAACUUGGGAUCAUUAACUUGGAACUCCGAAAAUCAUGCAAUUAAUGGACCAAUAAACAUGAAACACCUACCAUUAACUUGAAAUUAAGACCAUUAAACUUGAAACCAAAGAAACUUGAAACUUAGAGCAAUGAACAUGGAACUUAGAAUUAUUAACUUGCAACCCCAAAAAUCAUGUAAUUAAUGGACCAAUAAAUAUGAAACACCUACCAUUAAACUUGAAACUAAUUUUUAAUUAUUAUAAAACUAAUUUUUUAUUAUUAUGUUGCCUUUAUUAUUAAAAUAAUUAUUAUUUUAUUUAUUAUAUUUAUUUAUUAUAUUAUUUUAUAAUAUAAUAUUCAUUUAAGGAGCAACCGGUUGCUCUUUACCGGUUGCUCCAAGAUUUUUUUGUUUUUUUUAAUGUUUAGCUGCCAAGUGGCAGCCAAAAAAUGGUCAUAUUUUUUUUAAUUUUUUUAUUACCCGCGUGUAUGUGAUACAUGCGGGUAUUGUAGCGUUGGCCCAAGUCUAGAAAUCGUAUUGAAAAUUGUUAUACCGUUCACAUAACAUUACGGACCAAAGAAAAAAUAUAAACUUCAGAUCCUUACUUUUUUAGGAAAACUUUUAAUUAUUCGUUUGCAAAUUCUACAAUCAAGCCGCCGCUUCACCACCAAAAAUAGCAAUAAUAAUUUAAGAAAUCGAGAGUUCGUAGCAAUCUUCUUUGUUGUUGAAAUUUUUAAUGGUUCAUUAUCCGACUGCGUGAUUAAUUAGUAUAUCUUAUUUAAUAACAAUUUAAAAAUCGAUAUACCCUCAUGUGUCCGGUCAAAUUCUGUUUUUGUCAAUUUUACUUAGUUGACCAUGUGAAUUGUAAAUUCUAGAAGAAAUAAAGAAUUAAAAAUUAAUUUCAACUUUAUUCUUUUAGAAAGUACAGCGACAUCUAUAUAUAUAUAUAUAAAGCUGAGACUUGAGGAGGUGAUGUGGCAUCACCAUUUCUCAUCAUCUCAUAUUCUCUAUUAUCUAAUAAAUUAGUUGAAAUUAAAAAAUAAUUACAUUACAAAAUAUUAAAAUAGAAAAUAAUUAUUAGAUUAUAAAUGAUUACAUGUCUUUUCCUCUUUCUAUUUAAAUUCAACAAUAUGUAACCAUUAAUAAUAAUUAAUUAUAAAUCUUGAAACAUUCAUUUAUUUUAUUAUGCCAACAAUUAAAUUUUAGUGCCUUAAAAUAUAUCAAUUAAUUAAUAUUAAUAUAUGAAGGAAGGUUCUUUCAUCUUCCCUCAACAAUGCCAUUAGAGCCUAAUUUUAAUGUCAUAAUCUCAUAUUUAAUUAUUCAAUCUUUUGUUUAGUGCAUUUUGGCUUCUUCAAACUCCAUAAACAUUAAACAUUUAAGAUUUGUGGCAUCAUUAUUUCUCAUCUUUUUAUAUUCUCUAUUAUCUAAUAUAUUGGUUGAGGUUAAAAAAUAAUUACAUUACAAAAUAUUAAAAAUCUAUAUUUAUCUAUCUCUCUCUCUCUCUAUAUAUAUAUAAAGUUGGGACUAGAUGAGGUGAUGUGGUAUCACUAUUUCUCAUCUUCUUGUAUUCUCUAUUAUCUAAUAAAUUGGUUGAUAUUAAAAAAAUAAUUACAUUACAAAAUAUUAAAAUAAAAGAUUAUAUGUCUCUUCCUCUUUCUAUUUAAAUUCAAUAAUAUGUAACCAUUAAUAAUAAUUAAUUAUAAGUCUUCAAACAUUAAUUUAUUUUAUUAUUCCAACAAUUAAACUUUAGUAGCUUAAAUAUAGCAAUUAAUCAAUAUAGGAAGGAAUGUUUCUUCAUCUUCCCUCAAUAAUGCCAUUAGGGUCUAAUUUUAAUGUUAUAAUCUCAUAUUUAAUUAUUCAACCUUUUGUUUAGUGCCUUUUGGUUUCUUCAAACUCUAUAAAUAUUAAGUAGUUAAAAUUUAUGGCAUUAUUAUUUCUCAUCUUUUUAUAUUCUCUAUAAUAUAAUAUAUUGGUUGAGAUUAAAAAAUAAUUACAUUACAAAAUAUUAAAAAUAGAAAAUAAUUAGUAGAUUAUAAAAGGUUACGUGUCUCUUCUUCUUUCUAUUUAAAUUCAACAAUAUUUAACCAUUAAUAAUAAAUUAAUUAUAGUUUUGAAACAUUCAUUUAUUUUAUUAAGCCAACAACUAAACUUUAGUGAUUUAAAAUACAUCAACUAAUUAAUAUAGGAAGGAAGGUUCUUUCAUCUUCCCUCACUAAUACCACUAGGACCUAAUUUUAAUGUCAUAAUUUCAUAUUUAAUUAUGCAACUUUUUAUUUAGUGUCUUUUGACUUCUUCAAACUAUAUAAAUAUUAAGUAUUUAAGAUUUGUUAUGUUUGGGUUUUUUUUUUAUUAUUUAACAAACAUCCUCUUUAGAAAUGUUCUUGUGUUUUUAUUUUUUAACUUAUUUAAAAUUUUUGUAUUGUGUGUUUCAUGGAGUAUUCUUUUCUUCAUGAGUUAAAUAAUGAUAAAGAUAGUUGGAUGAUAAGGGUUAGGCUUUGUAAAAUAUGGGAGUUUGUUAAUACCAAGAAGAAUGGAGAGUUGGUUAGUGUGAACAUAAUUUUUAUUGAUGAAAAGUUUGUGUACACUUAACUAUACACAUUAAUAAAUAUUUUUAAAGUUAACAAAAAAAUAAUUAACUUUCAUAAAUAACAUUAGUUUUAUAAGGCUGCGUCAUCUUUAAAAAAAAUUAAUUCAUAUUUUUUAUCAAUUUUAUUAAGUGUAAAAUAAUAAAAAAAAUAAUACUAAAUUUUUUUUUUUAAAACCGCACAAAGUGCGGUUCUAUUUCCUAGUUAUAUAUAUAACUUGGGAUUACGAUUUAAGACGAAUUAACAACAUAUGAACAUAUUUUUAUAACGUUGUCAUUUAUAUUUAUAUAUCAAUCAUUAUGUAAUAUAUAUUCCUUUAUAGUAAUAUAGUAAAGGAUAAAUUAAAAGAUAAAAAAAUAUAAAUUUCAAUAUAUUAGAAAAUAAAAUAUAUUACUUUAAGCUCAAAGGAUAAAUUAUUAUGAUUGUAACUUUGCUAGUUACUUUCAAAGUCUUAAGGAGCAAAGGGCCAUGCAUCUAUGACUGAGGACUGAUCACAUUUUCAACGUUGAGCUUUUACUUAUCAAGUUGAUUACAAAAAUUAACCCCCACCAACACGUGACAAAUCAUGUGUUUCACUUACCGCAUCAGAUAACAUGCAUAAGAUGACAUACAUGCUAGCGGAUGAUGAGAAAUGACACGUCAGGAACUUGUUGACCGAGAAAUGGACACGUUGGACAAGUCUGAAUUUUCUGAUAUCCAAUUAACCCUCAACACUAUUUGUAGAUGUAAUCGUUGUUAAUAAUAAUAAUAAUAAUAAUAAUAGUAAUGAUAUGACAAUGACGAUAUGAUGGUGAUGGUGAUGGUGAUGAUGCAUUUGGUAAUAUUUUUGAUUGGUCAUUUUACGCAUUUCAAAAAGAAAAAUAUUAAAAACUUGUUUGAUAUUUUCUAGCAAGUGGAAAGCAAAUGAAUUAUUUCUAUUUUUACUUUUUCUUGAUAAUGAUUGCAAGAAACGAUUAAUUUUCAUUCUCCAAUUUUUACUCUCCAAGAAGUAAUGUGUGGUGGGACCACUGUUAUAAAAGUCUUGAAAGCUGAAGCCUGGGCCCCAUUUUUAGUCGGUUUCAUUUAAAAUUGAGAAAAUGACAUUCAACCCCCCAACGUUUAAAAAAAUAAAUAAAAAAAAUUUUAAUAUUUUAAAAAGAAUUUAUAAUUUCUUUUUUGUUAAUAAACACUAUUUAUUUUAACAGUAAAUUAAUUUUUAAUUUUUAAUUAUUAUUAUACCCUUAUAAUAAAUAUAAAUUAAUAUAUUGAUUUAAGACAUGUCACAAUUAAUAAUUUUUUUAAAAUUAAAAAUUGAGAUACAAUUAUAUUUUUGCCCAAAUUAUUUGCUAUAAAUUAUAUAUUUCUAAUGAUCAAACCUUUCAUAUGUGAUUAUUACUAAUAAAACGAAAUUUGAUUAAACCCUUUUUCUUUGAGGAAUCAAAACCAUAUUAUUAUUGUUAGAAAGGUAUAAUUUAUAGUAAAUAAUUUUGGUAAAAAAAUAAUUGUAUCUCAAUUUUAAGCUUUUAAAAAAUUAUUAAUUGUGAUAUAUCUCAAAUUAAUAUAUUAAUUUUUUUAUUAUAAGGAUAUAAUAGUAAUUAAAAAUUAAAAAUAAAUUUACUAUUAAAACAAACGGUAUUUAUUAACGAAAAAGAAGUUAUAAAUCUUUUUUAAAACGUUAAAAAAAAAUUAUUUUUUUUUUUAAACGUUGGGAGAUUGAAUGUUCUUCUCUCUUUAAAAUUUACAUGGACAUUAAAUGCUGGCACGAUGAUAUGAUCUCUUCCACCUCUCUUGCAUUUGAAUGACCGGUGAGUUUGAAUGCAUGCACAAUAAAUGCCACAUCAAAGACAUGGUAAAAUGUCGGCAAGCUUGGUCCAAGUUAUCAAAAUUCGGCGGCCGCAAGAUUUGAUCGUCCGGAUAUUUCUUUGACAAUGAGAAAGCCCCAACAUCUAAAUUGAGAGCCACUGCUUUUAAAAAAAAAAAAAAAAAUUGAGAGCUCACUGAAGUGCAAAGAUAAGAGACGCUGGUGAAUAAUUAGAGAGUUAGAGAAAGAGAGUGAAUUAAGUGUGAUGGAGAGAUUUGGAUGUAAUUGUUGUGAGAUAAAAUAAUAUGAAAGUGUAGUUGCAACAGUUUUCUCAUAAUAAAAUUUUUAUCUUGUCAUCUUUUGCGGCUGUGGCUUUUACUUUGAUAAAAAAGUUCUCAACAUAAUUUUGUAUUGUGUAAUUAAUGUUUUCUCCAUUUUAUUUUUCCAUUCAUUAUUUGUUGCUAAUGGAGAUCUUGGGUGGGAACCAAAAAUUCCCAACACAGCACUAGGCAAAUCAAAAUAAGUCAAAAUGGCACCAACCCCCCCAUCAAAAGCCACAGUUUCAUUAUAUUUUUAUUCAAAAAUCUUCAGGGUAAUCCCAAGAACUUUUAUGAACCUCAGAGCCAGCCUAAAAAUAAGCAGCAGCUUUCAACCCUUAUCAGCCGCAGUCUACCACAAUGGCUCCCCAAGCCACCACUUUGGGGGAUAUUUUAUCACCUGUGUGAGGGUCCACAAAACGGCUGUUGAAGAUAAUGAUUAGGGAAAGUGUAAGAAGGGAAAACGGGGAUGACCCCCUUUUCAGCUUCAGUUUCACUGUUCAUCAGACGGUGGAUGUUCGGUGUUGAGGUCUUGAUCUGCUUCCCGAAACGAAACCCAUCUGAUGAAAUCAAGAUAAGAAGUGGUUUGUAUGUCUCAGUUUCUUAUUGAGAGCACCACGAUAUGUCGUUUGAUCAGCAGAAGAGAACAGGGAAGUAAAGGCUGCAGCUGCUGAAAGACCAAUGCAGAAUCUUGAGCUACUACCAAUCAAAGGGGUUCUUGUUUGAUUUUGUUCAACUUCUUAUUCUUUAAAAAAUUUGUCAAUUUGAUACAAGCUAUCAUUUUUGCAAUAUGUCACUCGAUCGAUUACUUUUUCCCGAAAGAUAAAGAGUUGAAAUGAAAUCGAAUAGAUUUAAGCAAAUGUGAACAAUUUUUUAUAUAUAGUAAAAAGCUGUUAUUGAUUAAUAUUCUACUAUUUCAAUUUGCGCACAAAUUGUAUUGAAAUAUUAUAUUUCAACAUAAACAUUCACCUAAUUUAUGACUUGCUUAAUUUAAAUAAUUGCAUAAAAAAUUAUCCCAAAUUAUUUUUUUUUUUAGCGCCUAAACUCUCUAGAAUCCAAAGUUGAUUGACCAAAGAAAAUUAUACAUUACACGUCUUUCCUAUAACAAAACACAUCCAUAUUAAUUUUGAGGGGAAAAUGAUAUCUACAUCUGUAAGGUUUAGAAAAAUGAUCAUAAAAAUCCUAAAUUUUCAAUUAAAAAAAAUUUCUCUUUUAACCAUAAUAUAAUUUAUCUUUAUAAACAUGAAAAAAAUUGAUCCCAAUAAAUGUAAUAAUAUAUUAUUUAAAAUAAAUGUAAUAAGAUAUAAAUUUUAAAAUAAUUUUACUACUUAAAAAUAUUUUUAUAUUUUACAACUAUUAGAUAAUUUUAUUGUAUCAAAGUAAUUUUUAAUAGUAAAUAGAAACAUAAUUUCAAAAUAAAUAAAUAAAAUUUUAAAAAAUUUUAAUAUUAUGUAAAAAAAAUAUUUUAAUAUUAUUAACAAGGAGAUAUUUUGCUAAUUGUAAAAUCUAUUUAACCCAAAGGUUUAUUUAAAAAUCUUUAUAAUAAAUACAAAUAUAUCAUUUAAAAUAAAUAUAAUAAUUUAAAAUUCUAAUUUUUUUUAAAUGUUAAAAAUACUUUAAUAUGAUUAGUCUUUUAAACAAAUUAUAUUAUCUUAUAUUUGUAUUAAUUAAAAAUUUUAAAGCCAAUUUUCUAAGUACUACAUUAAAAAAGUAUUAUGGUCAAAAAAGGAAGUCACAGUAUUCCUGUAUAAAAAUUUUAAGAUUUGCAUGACUAUUUUCUCAAAUAUUGGGGAUAUAGGCGUCGUUUCUUCAAUUUUAAGUUAGUUUUCUUCAAUUUUAAGUUAGUGAAUCAAAACUUCAUGUUUACUUGUUAAUACUCGAAAGCACUCAAUGGAGUUUAAAAUAAAAAAUGCAUUGGAAUAUAAUUGAAGUCAAGUCUAUAGAUCAUAUUGAAAAUUGUUAUACCGUUCACUUAACAUUAUGGACCAAACCAAAAAAAAAUCUAAAUUUCAGAUCCUUACUUUUUUAGGAAAACUUUUAAUUAUUCGUUUGCAAAUUCUACAAUCAAGCCGCCGCUUCACCACCAGAAAUAGCAAUAAUAAUUUAAGAAAUCGUGAGUUGGUAGCAAUCUUUUUUGUUGUUGAAAAUUUUAAUGGUUCAUUAUCCGACUGCGUGAUUAGUAUAUCUUAUUUAAUAUCAAUUUAAAAAUCGAUAUAUCCUCAUGUGUCCGGUCAAAUUGUUUUUUUAUCAAUUUUACUUAGUUGACCAUGUGAAUUGUCAAUUCUAGAAGAAAUAAAGGACUAAAAAUUAAUUUCACCUUUAUCCUUUUAAAAAGUACAGCGACAUUAUAUACAUAUAAUCUGGGAUUACAAUUUAAGAUGAAUUAACAACAUAUGAUCAUAUUUUUAUAUAACGUUGUCAUUUAUAUUUAUCCAUCAAUCAUUAUGUAAUAAAUGUUCCUUUAUAGUAAUAUAGUAAAAGAUAAAUUAAAAGAUAGAAAAAUAUAAAUUUUAAUAUAGUAGAGUACAAAAUACAUUACUUUAAGCUCAAAGGAUAAAUUAUUAUGAUUGUAACUUUGCUGGUUACUUUCAAAGUCUUAAGGAGCAAAGGGCCAUGCAUCUAUGACUGAGGACUGAUCACAUUUUCAACGUUGAGCUUUUACUUAUCAAGUUGAUUACAAAAAUUAACCCCACAAACACGUGACAAAUCAUGUGUUUCACUUACUGCAUCAGAUAACAUGCAUAAGAUGACAUACAUGCUAGCGGAUGAUGAGAAAUGACACGUCCGCAACUUGUUGACCGAGAAAUCGACACGUUGGACAAGUCUGCAUUUUUUGAUAUCCAAUUAACCCUCAACACUAUUUGUAGAUGUAAUAGUUGUUAAUAAUAAUAAUAAUAAUAAUGAUAAUGACAACGAUGGUGAUGGUGAUGAUUCAUUUGGUAAUAUUUUUAAUUGGUCAUUUUACGCGUUUCAAAAAGGAAAAUAUUAAAAACUUAUUUGAUAUUUUUUAACAAGUGGAAAGUAAAUGAGUUAUUUCUAUUUUUACUUUUUCUUGAUAAUGAUUGCAGGAAACGAUUAAUUUUCGUUUUCCAAUUUUUAUUCUCCAAGAAGUAAUGUGUGGUGGGACCACUAUUAUAAAAGUCUUGAACGCUGAAGCCUAGGCCCCAUUUUUAGUUAGUUUCAUUUAAAAUUUGCAUGGGCAUUAAAUGCUGGCAUGAUGAUCUGAUCUCUUCCACUUCUCUUUCAUUUGAAUGAAUGGAUGAGUUUGAAUGCAUGCACAAUAAAUGCCACAUCAAAGACAUGGUAAAAUGUCGGCAAGCUUGGUCCAAGCUAUCAAAAUUCGGCGGCCGCAAGAUUUGAUCGUCCGGAUAUUUCUUUGACAAUGAGAAAGCCCCAACAUCUAAAUUGAGAGCUCACUGAAGUGCAAAGACAAGAGACGCUGGUGAAUAAUUAGAGAGUUAGAGAAAGAGAGUGAACUAAGUGUGAUGGAGAGAUUUGGAUGUAAUUGGGGUUUGGUCGUGAGAUAAAAUAACAUGAAAGUGUAGUUACAAUAGUUUUCUCAUAAUAAAAUUUUUAUCUUAUCAUCUUUUGUGGCCGUGGCUUUUACUUUGAUAAAAAGAUUCUCGACAUAAUUUUGUAUUGUGUGAUUAGUGUUUUCUUUAUUUUAUUUUUCCAUUCAUUAUUUGUUUCAUGUAUUGCUAAUGGAGGAGAUCUUGGGUGGGAACCAAAAAUUCCCAACAUAGCACUAGGCAAAUAAAAAUAAGUCAAAAUAGCACCAACCCCCUCUUCAAAAGCCCCAGUUUCAUUAUAUUUUUAUUCAAAAAUCUUCAGGGUAAUCCCAAGAACUUUUAUGAACCUCAGAGCCAGCCUAAAAAUAAGCAGCAGCUUUCAACCCUUAUCAGCCACAGUCUACCACAAUGGCUCCCCAAGCCACCACUUUGGGGGAUAUUUUAUCACCUAUGUGAGGGUCCACAAAAUGGCUGUUGAUGAUAAUGAUUAGGGAAAGUGUAAGAAGGGAAAACGGGGAUGAUGACCCCCUUUUCCCUUCUCAGCCACAGUCUACCACAAUGGCUCCCCAAGCCACCACUUUGGGGGAUAUUUUAUCACCUAUGUGAGGAUCCACAAAAUGGCUGUUGAUGAUAAUGAUUAGGGAAAGUGUAAGAAGGGAAAACGGGGAUGACCCCCUUUUCAGCUUCAGUUUCACUGUUCAUCAGACGGUGGAUGUCAUGUCGGGUGUUGAGGUCUUCAUCUGCUUCCCCAAACGAAACCCAUCUGAUGAAAUCAAGAUAAAAACUGGUUUGUAUGUCUCAGUUUCUUAUUGAGAGCACCACGAUAUGUCGUUUGAUCAGCAGAAGAGAACAGGGAAGUAAAGGCUGCAGCUGCUGAAAGACGAAUGCAGAAUCUUGAGGGACUACUAAUCAAAGGGGUUCUUAUUUGAUUUUGUUCAACUUAUUCUUUACAAAAUUUGUCAAUUUGGUACAAGCUAUCAUUUUUGCAAUAUGCCACUCGAUCGAUUACUUUUUCCUGAAAGAUAAAGAGUUGAAAUGAAAUCGAAUAGAUUUAAGCAAAUGUGAACAAUUUUUUAUAGAUAGUAAAAAGCUGUUAUGGAUUAAUAUUCUACUAUUUCAAUUUGCGCACAAAUUGUAUUGAAAUAUUCUAUUUCAACACAAACAUUCACCUAAUUAUGACUUGUUUAAUUUAAAUAAUUGCAUAAAAAUUAUCCCAAAUUAAUUUUUUUUUAGCGCCUAAACCCUCUAGAAUCCAAAUAGGAAUGACAAAAUCCUUCAUGGGUUUGGGGCCUCAUGGAGCCCCACCCCAAAUGGGGAAAUUUUUAAAUAAUUUUUGGAAAAUUAGGUGGGGAGUGGGGGAAAAAUAAUCUUCAAAUUCUUAAUGGAGUGGGAUUUGGUUUUGCACUCCCCACCUCACUCCCACCCCAAUCUCCAUUAUAUAUAAAUAUGUUUUUAAUUUUUAUUUUAUCAAUUAUGUCAAUUAAUAUUUUUUUUAAUUUUUAUGCAAUAUAAACAUUAUAUGAAUGAAAGAAAAUCCUACAAUAGUUUUCAACUCCGAAACAUUAUUAUAUUUUCUUUUCUCUUUUAAGGUGCUACGCUCUUUAAAUAUUUUUCACCUUUAAUAUCAUUUUAAGAUAUUUUUUCAAACUUUUAUAUAUUUUUUAAAAGAAUUUAAAUACUUUAUAAUAUGAUGAUGAUUUUAUUUUAAGUCUUUAAUUUUUAACUUACUAAAAUCAUGUAUUUAUACCUAAUAUAAAAUAAAUAAAUGAGAAAUGGGGUGGGGAUGGGAAAAUCAUUCCUCACAUGGGGAUUCCCCAUCCCCACCCCACUAAAUUUAUUGGGAAAUGGGGUGGAAAAUAGAGGCAAAAAAUUUUAACAGGGUGGGGAAUGGGGUAGGCCUUCCCUCCCCUACCCCAUUCCAUUGCCAUCCCUAAAUCCAAAGUCGAUUGACCAAAGAAAAUUAUAAAUUACACGUCUUCCUAUAACAAAACACAUCCGUAUUAAUUUUGAGGGAAAAAGGACAUUUACAGCCUCAAGAUUUAGACAAAUGAUCACAAAGACCUCAAAUUUUCAAUAAAAGACACCAAAAUUCUCUUUUAAACAUAAUAUCAUUUAACUUUAUAAGCCUGAAAAUAAUUGAUCCCAAUAAAUGUAACAAUAUUAGAUAUUGUAUUGUAUCAAAGUAAUUUUUAAUAAUAAAUAGGAACAUAAUUUCAAAAUAAAUUAAUUAAAUUUAAAUUAUUUUGAAUAUUAUGUAAAAAAUAAUUUUAAUAUUAUUAAUAGUAAGAUAUUUUGUUAAUUGUAAAAUCUAUUUAAUCCAAAUGUUUAUUUAAAAAUCUUUAUAAUAAAUACAUAUAUAUCAUUUAAAAUAAAUAUAAUAAUUUAAAAUUCUAAUAUUACUUUAAAUGUAAAAAAUACUUUAAUAUGAUUAGUCUUUUAAACAAAUUAGAUUAUAUAUAUUAUAUUUGUAUUAAUUACAAAUUUAAAGUUAAUUUUCUAAGUGUUAUAUUAAAAAAGUGUUAUGGUAAAAAAAGGGAAUCACAAUAUUUCUAUUUUUAGGAUUUACAUAACCAUUUUUUCAAAUAUUAUGGACAUAGGCGUCGUUUUCUUCAAUUUUAAGUUAGUGAAUCAAAACUUCAUGUUUACUUGUUAAUACUCGUAAGCACUCAAUGGAGUUUCAAAUAAAAAAUGCAUUGGAAUAUAGUUGAAGUCAAGUCUACAGAUCAUAUUCAAAAUUGUUAUACCGUUCACUUAACAUUAUGGACCAAACCAAAAAAAAAUCUAAAUUUCAGAUCCUUACUUUUUUAGGAAAACUUUUAAUUAUUCGUUUGCAAAUUCUACAAUCAAGCCGCCGCUUCACCACCAGAAAUAGCAAUAAUAAUUUAAGAAAUCGUGAGUUGGUAGCAAUCUUCUUUGUUGUUGAAAUUUUUAAUGGUUCAUUAUCCGACUGCGUGAUUAGUAUAUCUUAUUUAAUAUCAAUUUAAAAAUCGAUAUAUCCUCAUGUGUCCGGUCAAAUUGUUUUUUUAUCAAUUUUACUUAGUUGACCAUGUGAAUUGUCAAUUCUAGAAGAAAUAAAGAAUUACAAAUCAAUUUCACCUUUAUCCUUUUAAAAAGUACAGCGACAUUAUAUACAUAUAAUCUGGGAUUACAAUUUAAGAUGAAUUAACAACAUAUGAUCAUAUUUUUAUAUAACGUUGUCAUUUAUAUUUAUCCAUAAAUCAUUAUGUAAUAAAUGUUCUUUUAUAGUAAUAUAGUAAAAGAUAAAUUAAAAGAUAGAAAAAUAUAUAUUUUAAUAUAGUAGAAUACAAAAUACAUUACUUUAAAGCAUGUGCUUUUCUUAUUUUUUAAUCUUUUACAAUUUUUUUAAUUAAAAUAAACAGAAUUUCAUUAAGACCAAUGUUAGAGUGCAAUUUAUGCACUAGUUUUGCAUUAUUUACUUCCCUUAAUAUCAAUGUUUUGCACUUAAUAACAGUGAUUUACUUGUGUUUUACUUUUGUAGGUGCAAUUCUAUUGAUUGAUGAUAAAAUUGAGCUAUAAGAUUAUGUUUAAGGAUGAUUGUUCUCUUGGAGAAAUUAUGAGCGUCAGAAGAACUUUGUUGAUAAGGCGUGGGCGCGUGCUGUCAACUGCGGACCUGCAGUUUUUAGUUUAACGUGUUUUGUAUUUUUGGUUAUUUUUGUAAUUACGAAUUUAAUAUUUCAGAUAUUAGGAUUUUAUUUUAAAUAGAAUUCUAAAAGAGAAGAGAGAGAGAGUAUUUAAGGGAGGAAUCUAUUGUGAAAAAGGGGGGGAUUUGGAUUGGAGAAAAAGAAAAGAAACCCUAGAUCUUAAUUUUUCUCUUCUCUCUAUGAAGAACUAAACCUAUUUUUCUGGUUGAAGGAUAAUGAAGCUUUGAUUCAUCACUAAUGUGAGAUCUUUCUUGUGCUUUAAUUGUUUUAUUACUUUUUGGGUAUUUGUUUAUUCUCUGAAUUAUUUCCAUGAUUAUGUUUGUUAAUUAGGUAAUUGGCGACUAUUUAAAUUAUCAACUUAAUCUAUUGUCAAUUAAAGGAUUCAUCGUAUGAAGAAUUUAAUGUUUGUGACAAAUAACAUAGCAGAGAGUUGUGUUGUGAGAAUAAACAAUCUAAUUUAAAUGAAUCAUCAUAUGUGUUGAUUAGGAUUUGGGUCUCUCUGAUUUUUCAGGCUGUCAAUUGAUUAAAUCCUAUGAUCGUAUCUAGGGUUGUCCAUUGAUUAGGGAAAUAACCAACGGUCGUACCUUGGUUAUCGACUAGUUAAGGAGAGAUUGGCUAUUAGAGGGUCUCAAUAGCUAUAACCGGUCUAUUCAUAAGUAAUAAUAAUCUAUAUUUGAAUCAAUGAUCAGUAGUCGAAUCAAGCUGAGUUAAUUCCUUCAACCAGAGCUUUCUCCAAUUUGAAUUACAACUUUAAUUUGCAUUCUUGUUAUUUCAAUUUGAUUUUUAUUAUUGUCAACAAUUCCCCCAUUUUACGUUUUACGUUUCAAAAGAAUUUAAAUAAUUACCGAUCUCUGUGGACACGACCCUGCUCAAUCACUAUACACAAUUUAUUUAGAGUAAGAAUUUAUUUUUAUUGGCUUCGACAACCAUCAACCAAACCAGUUACAUCAUUUAAAAAAAUAACAACAUAAGCCUUACUUUGUACACAAAGGUUCUUGGGAGUUGACUUCCAAUUAAAGUCUACUACAACCGCCACUUUAAACGAAUAAUAAUUUUUUAUAUUAGUUUAUAACGACACAUGCUCUCCUCAAAGUUUUGAGGGAAUUGACUUUUUUUUUUUUUUUGGGUCAGCACAUGCAUACUAACUGGCUGCGGUUCCAUUAAUUCUUGACUUUUAUUUAAUUUUGACUUACAAAUUAUUUCUACCUUUAUACCCUUUUACCUUUUUUGUUAAGCAUUAUAAUUAUGAUAAGCGGCCACUUGUUUUUGCCUUUACGUUUGAAAUUCCACUACGUGUCGAAUUAAACCAAAAUGACGGUCACAUAGAAUUUUUUUUUUUCUUUUUCAAACAAAUUUACAAUAGUUUCAGUUUCAAAUAUUACUUUCAAAAUAAGCUUAUAUUAAACGCGUUUUCAUAUUCACUAAGAAUAAACCUAAGAAACUGCAUUUGAAAACUUCAAAGGAAGUUUUCAAGAUUUUCAAUAUCUGACUCUCAGAAAACUUCAAAAAGAAGGACGAGGCCGACUUGUUAAAUAACUAAAUAUGCAGACCAGAUCAAGUGGGAUGUAUGCAGAAAAGUCACAGCAACCGGCCAGCAUUUAUUAUAUAACCCACCACAUGCUUCUUCAUCUUCAGCUCAAUCACAGAAACAAAUUUUGGUCGUCAUGGGUUCUGACCAUCACGCGUCGACAUCUCCAUCAAAUCAAACGAAUCAAUCCACAAGAACCCUCUUCAUCAUCACCCUUCUGCUCGUCACCUGCAAUGCUGUUUCUGCAGCAGCAUUGCGCAACCCUUAUAUCAAAGCGAGAGCUCACGGUCCUGUCAAGAAGAAACUGGACAGACCGGUUGUUAUCCUGGUUUCGUCCGACGGGUUUCGUUUCGGGUACCAGUUCAAGACCCCAACGCCCAACAUCCGCCGCCUGAUCAACCAAGGGACCGAAGCAGAAACGGGUUUGAUCCCCGUUUUCCCCACUUACACAUUCCCUAAUCAUUACUCCAUCGUGACGGGUCUCUACCCUGCUUCUCACGGCAUCAUCAAUAACCGUUUCGUAGAACCUCGCACGGGGGAUCAGUUUUCUCCGGCACGUCAUGAGCCCAAGUGGUGGCUCGGCGAGCCGCUGUGGGAGACCGUGGCCAAUCAAGGUUUGAAAGCUGCUGCUUAUUUCUGGGCUGGCUCAGAGGUUCGCAAAGGUUCAUGGGAUUGUCCAAAAGGUUACUGCAUGAAAUAUAAUUCCUCUGUGCCUUUUGAAGAGAGAGUUGAUACUGUAUUGAGUUAUUUCGACUUGCCCAGCGACGAAAUUCCUGCGUUUACUGCUCUAUAUUUUGAGGAUCCCGACAGUCAUGGUCACGUGGUUGGCCCUGAUGACGUGGCGAUUACCAAAGCUGUUGCUAGGAUUGAUUCAAUGAUUGGGAGGUUGAUUGACGGCUUAGAGAAAAGAGGGGUUUUUGAGGAUGUGACAGUUAUUUUGCUUGGUGAUCAUGGGAUGGUAGGCACAUGUGAGGACAAGGUGAUAUUCUUAGAUGAUUUGGCUCCUUGGGUUGAAAUUCCAGCUGAUUGGGUUCACUCUUAUUUUCCAUUACUUGCAAUCUGGCCCCCAGCUGGGCAUAAUCUGACAGAGAUUGUCCAACGGAUGAAUCAAGGGUUGGACUCUGGGAAAGUUGAGAAGGGGAAGAGUCUGAGAGUGUAUCUCAAAGAGGAGCUGCCUGCUAGGUUACAUUACGCGGCGAGUGACAGGAUCCCGCCGAUAAUUGGGAUGGUUGACGAGGGGUUCACGGUGGCGCAGAGGAGGACGGAGGGAGCACGGUAUUGCGGAGGAGCACAUGGUUAUGACAAUGAAUAUUUCUCAAUGAGGUCCAUAUUUAUUGGGCAUGGUCCUCGGUUUGCUAGGGGAAGGAAGGUGCCUUCCUUUGAGAAUGUUCAGAUAUACAAUGUUAUUACCUCCCUUCUCAACAUAAAGGGUGCUCCAAAUAAUGGGUCUAAAUCAUUUCCCCAGUCUAUUCUCUUGCCUGCCCAAUAGUGCUCAUUUGCUUCAUAGAUGACCUACAUGAUCAUCAUCCCCAAUGGCAUUGUGGGGCUGACUGAUAAUCUUGAUUGUUGAUUGUAUGCAUGCAUUCUUCUAUUUGUACUGCUACCAAUUUGCUCUUGUAGCUGCAGUAGCAUUUGAGCAAUGGCUGAUGCAAUAAUAAGCCUCUACAUUAUUUUAUGCUUGUUUAGAGACCAAUUCCACGCUGGUUUUGCUUUUAUUCUUGAACCUGUCCCUGCACUCUCCUUCUCUGGCAGAGCCAAAAUUCUCUAUUCAAUAUUUGCAAGUAUUUGCACUCGACUCCAAUUUACUUACAGUACAACUUCAUUUUCCAAUAGUUUAAGUUAUUACCAUAAGCUUUAAUUUAUUUUUAACUUGGGUGGCAUAAACAUUCCUACAAAAGCAAUUAAAUUUUUAACUUCAACAUUUUAAGUAAUUUGUGUUUGCUACUCACAUUCUGCAAAUCAUGUCUAUGACCAUUCUUCAACCUCUAAAUCAUAAACCCCUAAAAAGGUCAAGAAUCAUAUCCUCCUCCAUAAAAGACUCAAUAUAAGAGUCAGCAACCACUACAUAAGACUUUCCAUAAUAUGAUUGAUGACAAUUAGCAUGAAAAAAAAUAAAAAACAAAAACAAAAAAAAAAAACCAAAAAAAGGCAAAAGGAAAAAUAAAUCUUCUUGUGUUCGCAAAUUCCAACAAGCAGUGGGGCGACCGAACCAAGAUGCUCAAGCCCAAUAACAUGGUAGUGAAACUGAAAAGCAGCAAAGAACGUCAAAGACUACAUUUUUGUCUUUGUUUUAUCAAUUACACCAAUUAUGUCACAAUCUUCCUCAACGAUUAGCCUAUCAGGCAGCAAGUGUAAUCUUACUAGAAGAAUAUAUUAAAUUUUAAAAUACGAAAAUAACAAAGACUCACAAUAGGUGCUAUCAGUGCAUGAACUGACUUCACCACCAUCUCUAAAAGAAAUUGUCAAUUCAGACAAAAUUCAUGUUUACAGGAACCUUUACAUUAUCACUAACAAUGACACAUAGGGGUAUCACAACUUUUUCUAUAUACAACUAAAAGCCAUCGAUCAUAAGAUAGAAAAUGAAAACAUAACAGUAAAAGACAUUAAGGUUGAUAUGAUGAUUAACAUUUCAAGCUAGUUUUGAUAGUCGCCUUUUAUGAAUGGAUGUGUUGUUGCCAACUUCUGUACAAUUAUGUAGAAAACAGUGUUGAGCAACCAACAAUUACCAUUGAGACUAGAAGUAUAUUCAUCGCUGGAGCAAAUUACUUCAGAAAAUCCUAGAUUUCUAAAAGUGUAAUAACUUGCUCUUCUAGCAGAAUCAAGGAAAAAUGAAAGAAUAAUAAUACACACACACCAUGCUAAAUUGCUAACCAAGAUUCGUAAUGCUCAUGCACUAGAAUGCAAUAAAAUUUUGCUAACUUAACAUCAAAAAGUUGAAGUUAAAAUAGCCCCUAAACUUUAACCUAUUUUUAUCUUGGAUGGCAUAAACAUCCCUACAGACAGCAACAUUUAAGUAAUGUACUUUUAAUACUCUCAUUCUGCAUAUCAUGUCUAUAACCAUUCUUCAACCUCUAACUGCAAAAAAUCCAAUAUACCCUUGUCCUCGUGCAUGGCUCUUGAAGGUUUGUGCACGAAUAUGAUCUGUAUCAGAAAUACAUUAUUUAACAUCAUGAAGUAUAAGACCAAUACCCACAAUUGAUCUGCUUGUUUUUGUUCACAUUUAUAUAUAAUAACACAUUAUGAAGGUCAAUCCUCAUAUCCACCACAAAGGGCUCAAUGUGAGAGUUUGAGUCACCAAUAACUAUAAGACUUCCAUUAUUUCAUUGAUUACAAUUAACAAGUAAAAAUCAUGGGAGAAGAAAAAAAAAGAAAAAUCUUCUACAGGUCACAAGUUCCAACAAAGAGUGUAGCAAUCAAACCUAGACAUGCCAAAAUAAUUUUUUUUUUUUUGUUGCGGGGGGCCCAAGGGAUCAACCAUCCAAAGUUCACAAAUUCCAACAAGCAGUGAGGCAAUCAAACCAAGAUGCAAGCUCAAUAACAUGGUGAUAUUGUUGAGGCUCUGUAUACUUGAAUAUUGUAUGAAUUUAAUAAUCUCAAGUGAAAAAUGUCUACCAAAGACAAUAACUUUUGUCUUUGUUUUACCAUUUACACCAAUUAUGACAUCGUCUUCUUCAGUGAGUGGAUUUUGUUCUAGAAAACAAUAUUAGCCUAUCGGGACUCAAAAUGUUAACUGAGAGUAGUAAGUGUGACCUCACUAGAAAAUUUAAAAAAAAAAAAAGGGAUACAGUAAGUGCUAUCAACACAAGGACUGACUUCAUCGCCAUCUCUCAAAGAAAUUAUCAAUUCAGACAAAAUUCAGGUUUACAAGAACAUUCUCAUUAUCACCAAUAACAACACUAAUCAUGAACUUGUGGCAUGCCCAUCGUUUGCAAGGCCCAAAGCGUGGCAUGCCCAUUGUUUGCAAGGCCCAAAGCCGAUUUUCGUUACCAUUUUUUCUAUACACUAAAAGGCCAUCAAUCAUACGAUAGAAAAUGAAGACAGACCAGAAAUUGUUGGCGACUCAAAACACUUAAAACACUUAUAUAAAGACAUUAUGAAGAAUAUGAUGAUUAACCUUUCAAGCUAGUCUUGAUUGUUGCCUUUCAUGGACGAAUGCAUCGUUGCCAGCUUCUGUACAAACAUGUAGAAAACAGAAUUGAGCAAACAAGCCAAUGGAACUUAAGCCAUUGAAUACUAUUUCUGAGAGAAGGUAUACAUAAUAUAAAAAAACCUUUAAAUGAAAGACUGCAAUUGUACAGGUGAAGAAGGUCGAGUUGUGGAUUCAAACACGCAUAUCACAAUAUAAUUGAAUAGUUAUUCAAUACCGAAGGCAUUCUACACUAACCUCCCGCUGUGAUCUACACACAACAUAAGUGGACCCACAACAGCUGAAGAGAGAAACUUAGGUAAGCCGGGCUCACCACCUCAACAUGCUAAGGUGGUGGGAUCAACUGACCAGUAUGAAAAACCAGACGCAAAUUUAAAAUUUGAUUAGGUGGAAUCCACCAUCCAAUUAUUGACACUUGUCAAACAGUGGUUGUUGCUGAAAUGGUGAACCAACACACCUAAAUUUGUCCCACAGCUGUAACCUUACAGCCAAGUACUGCAUCCACCAAACUUUUUGUCACAUUUGCCCCACUCUUCACUAUAGAUCAAAAGAUUUUCAAUAGAUUUCCCAAUACCUGUGUUUUGAUAUUUCUAAAAGAAACCUAAAAUUGGGUAAACUGAGGAAAAAAUUUGAUGACAGGGAUGAAGAUGGGACAACAAACCUGUGAAGACAAAAUACAGUCAAUUAUAAAAGGAGAAAGGUCGAUACCGUGAGAUGAAUGCAAAAAGUUUGGUCCACGGUUUUAUCAAAUAGACUUGGGUGAUAAAACAAAAAACAUUGCCAUCAUCAUUAUUAGUACCUUUCAAUUGCCAAUUACCUCUUCCUCUAGUGGUUGUCACCUCUCCUGAGAAAUUUAAACCUUCAAGCACAAAAUUGGAGAUUGAAAAGUGGCAACUGAUAGAGCAAGAGGUAAUUGACAAUACUUUUGGUAUUUAAUUGAAAGGAAUUAACCAUAAUGAAAUCGGCAUUAGAAUACCUAUACUUCCAAAAUGGUGGAACAACAUCAGAAUACCUAUGCAAGUCAUUUCACUAACAUAUCAUCAUAACAGUCAUUAUGAUAUAACCACAAUGCAUGAACCAUAAUUGAAAUUAUCAUUCAGAAGACCCACCUAUUCAUAAUGUGACUUCUCACCAAGUAAACAAUGAAAUGGCUCCUACCCCAUUACCACAAAAGAUGCAAAACUACAUAAUAGUAGUCAUUUGCAUCAUUAUGCAACACUGUACUUCAGCCAUAAAUACGACACAAUAUUUACAAGAAACCUAAACCCUAACUUGUCAAUUCUGGAUUAGCUCAAACAGGCCAAACUGUACCCACCAAAACAAAAAAAAACGAAAAACAAAUCCAUAAUUUUUAUGAAUUAAAGCAGCACAAUCCAAUGCAUUUGACAUCUCUACUUACUAUGACAGAUCUGUAUCAACAAGGCUGCAAAUAUGAAUAAACUCCUGCAUCUCUGGGAAGGAAAAAAGCACAAUGUAAACACAAACAUAUCAGGUACCAUAUUUGGCAAAUUGGUGGGUGCUGAACGCAGUCCUCCUACAUAAAAUCGUUAAGACUUAUACUCUGAGAAAGGAAAAGACAAUAUGGCUGACAUAGCAAGAUUCAUACAUCAUCAACAACCCACCACAGUCCACAUGCCAUGCUAAAAAUAGAUUUCAAAAGAACAGAGAUACACAAAAAACUUAAAUUUCAUAUCCAAAUGUAAUGACAUCUUUGAAUCCAGGAAAGUCCACUCAAAGAAGAAUAUGCAACUUAAAAUUCCAUUAUAACAAAUUUAAGUGGCAAAAUUAGGAUACAUAGCACUUAGAAAUCAUCAAAAUUUGCGAAAUGCCUCUCAAAGAAAAGUUUCUUUGGAAGAACAUUUUAUCUAAUUGUCUAUGGCUACAAAGAGUAAAACAUUUUGAACAUUCUCAUUUGAACAACAUUUUUUCUUCCAAAAACAAAAAAUUAUUGAAUCAUCAGGGACCAUACUCUUCCCAUGGUUGCAAAAUAGCCCACACUAAGCAAAAAUCAGGCUGUAGAGUCCUUCAAAUAGGCAAUGAGGUCUGCACGAUCCUGAGGCUUCUUCAAUCCAGGGAAGACCAUCUUUGUUCCAGGAAUAUACUGCACAACUCAAAGCAAACGACAGUGAAGAAACAAGAAAGGACAAAAGGAAUGCAGAAAAGAGACAAAUUAUAAACAUGAGGUGCGCUGAGGUGCAUGGUGUCGUGCACAACGAUAUAUGUCACACUGUGGGGUGCCCGACAAUGACAAUCAUGCACAAUAACAUGUGGUGCAGCACACAACUGAUCAGAUUUCUUAUAAACGUUACACUCUCAAGAUAAUCAUUUAUCAGCACAAUCCAAAGAAAUAAAAAAUGCAGAUAAAAAUUCUGCCAUUCAAGUUCGAAACGUCUGUCGUAGGUAUGUUUGCCCGUACAAUCACAAACCAAAAAGCUUACUUUGAAGCGAGCAUGAAAGAUCGCACAAAUUUAAUCCGCAACACUAAACCAUGCGUGACAAUUGACAGCUAAUAUCAAGGUAUUAUAACAUUUCUGUGCAAAGAUCUAUAAAAAUAUGCAGACACAUUAAACAUUAGGAAUUAGAACUUGUUCGUACCUUCUUAGGGUUAAGCAAGUAAUCGUACAACGUUUUCUCUUCCCAAAUAACAGCCAUACCCUUGUUAGCAGCUGAAUAGGAGUACCCGGGAGUUGUCCCGGACUGUCUCCCGAAAAGUCCAUUCAAAUUUGGUCCUAAGAAGAUUUCAAUGCCCAGAUCAAUGAAGCCUCGAAACCAAAGGAACAAUAUUUUGUAACUCUUAAGGAAAGCGCUUACAAAAUCAACUUAUUUUAACAAGCUCUCAAUGUUAAACAUUUAUUUUUAUUUUUAAAAUUUCGAUCAAAUGUACAAGUAACUACACAAUCAUAAACAGUAGCAGAGAGAUCCGAACUACAUGAUAGCUAAAAUCUAUUGAAAAAAAAAAAAGUGAUAAUAAAAUAAAAUAAAAUUAGAAAAAUUAAAAAUUUUAUUUCUAAAAAAUAAACAAAUAAAAAACCUUGUUUGUGACCAGCGCCUUUCACGACGGUGUGGCACUGAGCGCACUUGGUCUUGAAGAUUUUCUCCCCGGCCUUUGGAUUACCAGGUGGAGCUUCCUCAAACGACGCCAUUUUGAUUGUGGUUAAAAUCGAAUUAACGAAUCUGCUGCAAUUUCGUCUGGUUUAGUAUUGAUAAUUGAAGUGGAGGUGCAAUGACGGUCGUGCCCAUUGGUCUGUAAACUUAUUCGAAUGUUCUAGAAGCUUGUUGAUUUUGACCUGGAUAAUUUCAUAUGUCUCCCCUAACCUCUAAGGUAAUAGCAAAUUAAGAGUUUCUUGUAAUUUUUAUUCGAAUGGCUUUUAGGGACCUUUUCUUUUUCCUCUUUCGGAGAUAUUUUGAGAAGGCUUCUAGCCUUUUACCUUUCAGGGACCCUAAUGUUAUUAUCAUCUUAUUUCAGAAUUUUCCUUCAUAACGACACGUGCUGGAAAAUUAUCGUAGAGCGUGGAGAGACGGGGCACAUUUUGCUGUGGUCGGCACCAGGGCAAGUACAGUAGGGGCUUCGAAAGGAAACGUUGAAAUUGAAUAGACACAAAUUGAAGACAAAAAGUGUUUUGAGGGAGACCCGGAAAAGAAAGCCGAUUAUCGUUGUCUUAAAUAAUAAUAAUUCAUUUUAAAAUAAUAAUAAUAAUAAUAAUAAUUCAACUCUAAAAAUAAUAAUAUUAAUUCAAACCCUUUUAUAGAAAAUAAUAACAAUUAGGGGUGGGCGCGGUUCAGUUCGGUUCGGUUCGAUUUUUUACUAAAUUUUUCAUAAUCGUGCGAUUACGAUUAUUUUAAAAUCAUAAUCACGAUUAAUCAAAUUACCGAAAUAAUCAAAUACUCGAUUAAUUAAAAUAAUUCGAUUCGAUUCGAUUCGGUUCGAUUAUUUCGAUUAUGGGCCUAUUUUAGGCUUUUUUAAAUUUAAAACUUUAAAUUAAUAAAUCUAUCAUUUUACAAAAUUAUUGAAUAACCACGCACAUUUUACAAAAUUAAAGAGACUUCAUAUUGCAACAUUCAUCUUAAUUAACAGGUUAUGUUUUAUUUUUAAAUAAAUAUUUAACUGGUUGUAACCAACGACCAAAUGGAUCGCAUACAACUUAAUCGCAAUGAACAAAUAAAUAAAUGAUGCUUUAUGAAUAACUUCUUCAUUCAUUAAUUGCAUUUGUAUUCAUUUUGGCCAACCAAGAAUAUAUAUAUUAAAUUAUUAUAUAAACUAUCUACAAAAAUCGAGAUUAUAUAUUAUAAAAAAAAUGAAAAAGAGAAUUGCAGAAAAAUUUGACAUGGCAGCACAAACAUGGUGGUCCCAAAUUAUUGGACGCUCAUGACCAAUUCCAAUUGAUGAUGAUGACAUAUGGAUAAUAAUUUUUCUUUUUCUUUUUUGGUUUAAAGAAAAAAGUUAAAAUUAAUUUUUAGGUUUUAGCUUUUUAGGUUAAAAUUAAUUUUUAGGUAAAGGUCUGGGUGCAGACAACGGAGGCCAAAAAGCAGAAUGAUUUCAACUCUGUGGAAAAGAGUGCAGUUGAGACAGUAACAAGGUUAGCAGAAGCAAAAAUUGCAGCGAGGGAUGCCGCACGAUCGCAAAAAUUGCAGCGAGGGAUGCCGCACCGCCAGCGGGAACAGAAGAAGUCACGACGAGCAGCGGCCAGCGGGAAGUCGGGGAUCGAAGAAGAUAGAAGUCAGAAGUUUAGAUUUAGAUUUUAGGCUUUUAGGUUUUAGCUUUAGCUUUCAAAACAAUCGGUUUAUUUGAGAUUUCGGUUCGAUUUUGCGGUUUUGUUUUUAAAACCGAACCGAUUGGUUUUAUUAUUUUUUUAUAUUACUAUUUCGGUAUUUUGGAGUAAAAAAACCGUAUAAAAACCGAACUGAACCGAUCAGUUCGGUUCGAUUUUUAAUUAAUCAGCUUUUUUUUCCCACCCCUAAUAACAAUAAUCAAACCAUACAACUUUUUGAAUUGAAAUUCUCAUAAAUUUACAACUUGAUGGAAUAUAUAUGUAUAUAUACGGACUUAGCUAUAUUGCAAUUGUGGUACUGUGCUACAGUUGUAACCAGCCAUUGAAUUUAUUGUUGCAUCCCUCAUUCAAGUGGAUUCAAUGACCGAUUGCAACUGUGACACGAUACCACAGUUACAACAUAGCCGGACUAUAUACACACUCAAUUAUCUAUCAAUCACUUAUUUUUUCGUACUUUUUAAAAAAUAAAAAUAUCAUUUUUUGACAUUCUUCCACCUAAAAUAACAUUUUUUACAUUCGGCUACUUUUGUCUCAAGAUAUUAAUAAAAUUAACGAAACAUCAAUGAAAUGAUUUUUUUACUAUUUUACCUUAAAUAAAUGUGAAAAAAAAUAAAUAAAUAAUAAAAAAUAAAAAAGCUAACAAAUAUAAAUUAUAAGAAGAAAGUGUGAUCACAUAUGAGCAAUUUCAACAUCCAUCAAUAUCCUUCCUAAAAAAAAACAUCUAUCAAUAUCCAACCAGCAAUUAUUGUAGUAUUAAAAAAGAAAAGUAAUUAUUGUAAAACAUAAAACCACUUGAAUUAAAUAAUGAUGGGGAUUAAAUUUAGAAAAGCUUAACCUUAAUCGUCAUCGUCUGGAUCAAGACCCUCAAAAGCCCACUCAUACUGCGUCCUGGCUACUUCUUCCUUGGGCGUGAAAUUAUUUUCAAUCCCAAAGAACUUUCCGACAUACUGGACACUCUUGUUCUUGAUCCUGUUGGCCAAAGUCUCUGUCCAAUAAUCUAACAUCUCUUGUUAUUCAAAUAAUUCGCCACCAAUAUCGUCUCCUUCAGCUCAUCAUUGCUCUUGCUCUUCCCAAACUCCUCAUCGAACGUCUUCACCUCCUGUUUCGGUGAUCUUUGCUUUGAAAACUCCACAUGGGCCUUGCAGAAUUCGAUUAUGUACGACAGCGGCUCCGUCGACACGUUUGGCAGCGGCACCACCGUGUCUUCCUAUGCGUCGUCAAUCGUCGAAGAACGACUUCACGAUCUCAAAAUCCAUCGCCACCGGCUCCUCCACCUCGAAUAGUUGCCCAUCCGCCCUCUUCAGAGAUAUUUUCUUUGCUGCCUGAGCGGAGCAAGAGGACGAUGAUUUCCAAAAUUUAUUACAAAUCAACUUAAUUUAUAUUCUAGGUUUCGAAGAACAACGAUUAACGACAGUUACCACACAAAUCGAAACAUUGAGGCUUGAUAGCAAAUAAACUGGAGAAACAAUGGCGCAUUUUUAGGGGAAAGUUGGUUGAAUUUUUAAGCGUCGUUAGGCAUCUCACAGACACGAAGGUCUAUGGAAUUUGGAGAAAAGCGCGUUUCUACCAAGCACUCGAUAAAAGUUUUGCACUUUCUAAAAACAAAGUACUUCCGAAAGGGCACCCUUAAAAAACAGACGGGUUCUCCAGUUGCACCAAUAUUUAUUUCAAGCACAUACUACUUUGUAACAUUCAAAUGACUAAUUUCCAGGAAUCUCAGAGCAUACACUGUUGAAGAGCCAAAAAAAAAAAAAAUGAUUUACGGGAAAUGUUACAGGAGAAAAAUAUGGAUCACGAAUUCCCCUUCAAAGCAAAACCGGCAUCAUAUCUAAAAAGGAAAACAAGCCAAGAAUUAAAAUCCUUAUUGAAGCUAAACCCUUUACAAUCAGUUUGUUCUUUACCACAAAAUUGAUAUUCACCAUGAGUUCCCAGUGUCUCUCUCUCUCUCUCUCUUAGGGAUCAUGAACUUGUGCAGGAUGUCGCAUGGGCCAGCCUAGAAGAGGAGGAGAUCCCGGUGGAGUUGAAUCAUGGCUAGGAGAGAAGAGGCUCAGUUCCACAUAAGGAGUAGCAGAAUUCCCAUCUCUCCCCAUUGUGCGAAAAGAAAUUGAUCCCCGUUUGGUCGAGGUGUCAGAAGUCCUCCCUGGGCUAAUUCCACCACUUUCCUCAGUACGGUCCUGGUUAGCAACAAGAGAAAUGGCAUCAUGAUGAUCUUCAAUAAACCUUCUUCUAGCCUCCAAAUCUUGUAAACUGCCCAGAGCCAAGGAAUCCGCAACUGGGUAAUAAACAAGCAAGCAAAUACAUACCCCAGCACAACAUAAUAGGGAAAGAAAAGCUAAGAACACAAGAACUUCAAACAGAACAUGCUCUGGUUUAGAUAAAACAGAUAAACCAAGUAAAAGAACCCUUAAUGUAAGGAAACUUGAAACGGAGAAGAUUAAUGUGUAGACUCUCUUCUGCAAACCCUUAUUGAUAACCAAUUUCAAAACCUGCCUUCCCAGCCAAAACAAGUAGGCAGUUAGCACAGUAGUGAAAAGCCCUAAGAGGAUGGUGCUCAGUAAAGGGUAAGUACAAAGAGCAAUAUUCACAGAACCAUCUGAUGUUCUUGUAAAAUAAAUGGGCAGUUUUUGUAAGUUACUCUUAUCCUUGUGUAGCUUGGGGCCAAUUAGAAUGACGACGAGCUGAAGAAUAAACACAGGGAAGCAAUACAGAAAUAAAUAUCCGGCUGUUUUUCCAUUCCAAUUCCGGCUGAGAGUUCCCGAGUCCAUUCUCUGUAAGGGUGCACGAAGGAGAAACACAAGGGUCAAGAAUAGGCAAGGUUCUGCAAACCCUAGAUUCGAGACGAUGUAACUUUUGCAGAUGUUUUCCUGCCAUUUGAAAUCAAGAGCAUUCAGCACUCUCCCCUCCCGUCUCAACAAACUUAACCGUAAAAUUUCACCACAACCCCACCAGAUUGCAAAUAGAAUGAAGGUUAUUCGGAUUAUCCAAGGCCCGCUAAAGUAACUAAGUUGACCAAAACCUUGACUACGAAUGCGAGAUCGGAAGUAAAACGAGUAAACAAUACACAGCAACCCGAGAAUAAUCAAUAUCGCAACUAGACAUAUUGUCGCCACACCGAAAGCAUCGGUAACAAAUCUCGUCAGGGGCAUUACCCGAAGCACAGAUUCCACGCAUGCUCUCUGCCAGCAUGGAUACAAAAGGUCCUCAGGUAGUGAACGUGCUGCCUUCCCAGGAUUAAUAGAGAAUAGCAGUUCUCAAUACAAUAUUGAAAGAUGCUAAUUACCAAAACCCCCUAUAGCAAUCAUAGAGCAACUUGCCCCAGUUCUCAAAUACUAGCAACAAAGCCAUCUAAUUUGAACAUCAACAAGAUCAAAAAUGGUGUGUCUGCCAAUCACUUUAAGAAACUUCACGUCUUGGAUGUGCUGAUAGUAUCCAGCCCACUCACCUGCAUUAUAUAUAGUAAAAAAGAUUAGCAAAAGGGCAACAAAGAACAGUCAAAUGAAAUACUAAAAAAUAACCAUAAAUCCAAAACACCAGUAAAAAUUCAAGCAUGCAAAAAAAUUCAGCCACACACUAAUCCUUGGGCACAAAUGGUAGGCAUUACAGCAAAACAUAAAUAAGUCUACGAUUAGUCCACAACAGAAGCAACCAAAAGAUGGGAAAUGUGAUAUCAUCACACGUACAAGAUAGAGAAUAUAAACACAAACUACGAGUAUUAUUGAAAAUAAUGUAAACAGACUGAUGAAUUUAUAGAACAAAAAUAUGAACACAUUCUACUUCAUGCAUUAAUCACCAGGGCCACACCAACAAAUCAACAUUAAUGUCUUCUUUGGAAACAACAUCAAUAGAACCCCAACUAUAGCAACAUACAACCCACAGUAUUUAUUUCUAAGGCUAAAAAUGGUAUCUAGAUAAGGAAUGACAAGUUUUUACACAAAUGAACUUAAUGAACCACAUAAUGGUCCUUUAGAACAGCGAAGAAUUCCAAUUAAAGAAAUAUAAUAACUAAAAUGUGUUAAAACAGAGCUGCCAUAUAAAAUUAACAUUAAUGCCGCACAUUCUUGGAAAACAAUACGACAAGUGUUUCCAAAUCAAAUACUUACUCGACCAGCCAAUUACUUGGUAAGCAACAACAAAAGCUUCGACAAUAACAUAAGUGAAUAUUAAUGACCUCACAUCACAUAGGAUUUCUACACUUGUAUAAACAGAGCUACCAUAAAAAAUCAACAUUAACAAUGCAUGUCAAUAACAGACAACAUACACAUGUUUCCAAGUAAAAUAUAUACUCAAACAACUAAUUACUUACAAAUAAACAACAAAAGAUUAAACAAUGACAUAAAUGAACAUUAAAGAAUUGCAUCAUUUAGAAAACUGUACUUGUAUGAACAGAGCAACAUAUAAAAUCCACAUUAACGCCUAAAUGUCAUUUAGCAGACAAUACAACACAUGUUUCCAACUCAAGUAUUUACUACUAACAGCUUAAUACUCAGCAAUCAACAGCGCAAGCUUACGCAGAAACAUAAAUGAACAUUAGCAUUGCGUCGUUUACAAGUUUGAGAGUGGUUCGUAAGUAACGGGUGACGCAAGCUCACAACUUAAAACUUACUAAACACUACUUCACCAAUCAAACAAUUUCGGAACUCGUGUACAACAACAGUAGGACACAUAUAACAGUGUAUACAAAGUCAGAGAAAAUCACCAUUCCAACACCACUUAUAUGAUAUAAACUAUACAAUGGAUUCUACUAGCCAAUUAUAACUCCUAUCAUCUUUUCCAGAGAUAUAUGCAGGUAAAGUCUCCACACACACACACACACACACCCAAUUUCUACGUUUUUUUAAACUUAUUUUCCUUUUACUUUUAUAUGAUCAAAUAUGCUAGAUUCAUAAUUUCGUUUCAUUUGCUUUCCCUUGCCCUCUCAGGAAACAGACAGGCGCCAAACCAUAACCUCCCACAAAUCAUCAAGGAAAAUCAAAGCAUUCCACGAAGAAAAAACAAAAAAACAACGACGAUUAAAACAACAGAAGAUAACCAACAAAACGAUGGUGUAAAGGCUAAGAAGCGUGAAAUUACGUAAGAACAGAGCCAAAAUGGACAAAAGAGAGAUCAAACGAGAGCUUACAAAACGCGAAAUCCUGAUCCGGCGAGAAGGAGAGGCGAAUCGGAGGAGCAAGAGGUGAGAUCGAAACCCUAAGUUAGAGAGAGACAAUGUGAGGAGAGAGAGACACACACAGAAAGAGAAGGAGAAGAGAGACAGAGAUUGAGAGAGAGAACGUAGUUAGGGGGAAUAGGUGAGUGGGACUUUGUUGGUGACAGGCUGUCUCCAGCUGUGUCCAGUCCGAGUCUGUAGGUUCGGAUUUAAAAAAAUAAAAAUUAUUUGGGACUUCUGGUUCGGGUUUUUUACACCCGAGCCUACGUGGCUAUUCGCCUUGGCGGCGUUUACGGCGACUUGUUUCUGUAUUUGUUCUGUGUUCUUUCAUUCUUUUCCAUUUCGAGUAAUAUCAUCUAGAUCCCUACCGUUCUAACUAAUCAGAAAAUAUAACAACUGUUCUGUACUUUUGACAUAGGUGUCUAAUUUCUGGUAAAAUUUAACACAAUUCGAUUAUUCAAUAUGAAUACGACACGAAUAAAUACAUAUAGAUCAUCAAAUUUGAUACGAUUAUUAAAUAAACCUGGUCUAGGUCGAUACAAUUUUUUUCCGUGUCAGAUUAGAGUUAAAAUUUUUAACACAUUUAUCCAAACAAUGACACGAUUAUAUUUUCUUUUUUAAAUCAAUUUCUAGGUUCUUAUCUUUAAAACUCAAAUAUCAAAUAGGAUUCUCUCUUUUUAUUUUUUUGAAAGGAUAAAUAUAUACAUAGUGUUUUAUUUAUAAAAUUUUAUAUAAAUUUAGAACUUUAAUAGCGUAAGCGUAUAAAAUAUUGGUACACAUGUAUAUGUUAUGAUAUUGAUAUAUAGUAUUAUUUACAUAUAUAAAAUUAAAAACUUUAAUAGUGUAAAUAUGUAAUAUUUUGGGGGUAUGUGUGUGUAACAUUUGUUAAAUAUAUAAAUAUUAAACGGGUUAUUGGGUAACCCGUUUAUUUUCCGUGUGGGGUUUGGAUAUCAAUAUUUUAACACGAUUAUUAAAUGAGUCAGGUUUGGAUCAACUUAAAUUUAACACAAUAUGAAAUUAACACGACACAAACACGACCCGCGACCCGUUUUUUAGCUCUACUUGGCCUCUAUAUGUUAGGUUCUAUUAAUGCAUAGCCAAAUGAACCAUACAUUAGGUGUAUAAUUUUGUGUGAGCACAGUCUGGUUAGGUUUAAUUUUUGAAAAAAUAAAUUGAACUAAAAAAUCCAUCAAUUUAAGGAUUUCUUAAGUCAAUUAAAACUAUUUUUUUAAAAGACAAACGGAAAUAAAUUAAGUUUAAUACAUCUAAAUUUUAGGUUUCGAGCAAUUUUCCUUUAAAUUGAGUCAUAUUUUUCUAAUUUCAUAUCAACUUCAUAGUGAACUAGGACUUGUAUGAAUGUCUACAUGACUCUAAACUUUUAAGUCAAUAAAUUUCCUAUUCGACCCCUGUAGAGAUCUAUGUAACAGAAUAUAUCAAAUUAUGCCUUUGUAUAUUAUUUAGUGUAAACUCAGGGAACAAUAUGAUACUAUUAUGUCAUUUCUCUUUCAUUUAUUUUGGGCGGUUUUAAGAGUCUGUCUGUUUGGUUAAGAUGAAUCUGUAUCCCCGCUAUCGAUCAGGAAAAUCCUUAAACUCGGUUAGUAACAACAGUUCAUGAUUGGCUGGAGUGUUAGCUGUGCUGCCGCUAUCCAGCGUAGGAUUUGGGAAAAUCUAAACUGGACGAAUGCAAUUUAAUGUUUGAUGUCCAGAUGCAAUUAAUUUUAUAACAAAAUCUUCGUGAAUUAACAUUAAAAAGGCAAAGACUUUGGUAACAAGAUUUUGUAAUGAUUCUUACAUUCCAUGUAUAUUUAGAAAGAAAAAAAAAUUGUAUUUGCAUUAUUACCUCCCAUUUAAGACCCGAUUUUUGUUUGAUAGUGUUUCUCGUGAAGGCAUUUGAUAAUAUUUAUUUAAACAAAAAAGAACAUAAUUAGAUUUAAAAUUUUUUUAUACACUUUUGUUGAAAAUUAACAAAUAAUUAAAUAAUAUUUUUGAAAUAUCUGACCGUGAUGAAAAUGAAUUUAGAUUAGGUGCUGAUUGCUGAAGUAAGAGCUCACGUGGAUUUUUAAUAGUUUACGAUCAAAAUAUUAAAAAAAAAUUCGUCAUAAAGCUCCAAGUCCAAUGAGGAUUAUACAGCAGAAUUAUCAGGCUACCGUAUUCCUUGUAUAAUUGUUUAUCAAAUGCCAAAUAAUUAUUUUAAGUUCUUAAAAAAUAUUAAUAAAAUAAAAAAAUCAGGUAAUGCUAAAAAAAGACUAUAAAUAAAUUCAUCCAAUUUUAAAAGUUGAAACAAUUUAAAAAAAAAAAAAGAGUAGAAAGGCUUUCUAAGCUAGUAGAUUAUUGAUCAUUUUCAAUAAUAAAUGAAUCAUGUUCAGUAUUCAAUGUAGAUAUCAAAUAUUGAUUUGAUUUUUCAUAUAAUCUAUCACAUUAAUAAUUUUAAUUUGAAUAAUGUUAUGAAUUUAUUAAAAUAAAUAUGAAUGUUUAUAGCAUACAUAUCUUAGUCUUCCACUUUCUCCUACUAAUAACUUUUAACUUUUUUAUAACUUCCACUAUCUCAUAAGAAAUUAUGAUAUGUAAUGUUUCUAUUAAUUUCAUGAAGUGACUUUGUAAUUAUAAAAGAGAGGUCAUUUCUUUAUUUUGUACAUGAGUAAUAAUAUAACCGUAAACUCUUAUAUAAAUUUAAUUUGUAUAAAUUAAUGUGCCAUAAUAAAAUUAUUUGAAUUAAAUAUCUAUUGACCCACAUGAUUUAUUUUUAUUAUUUUAUAUUUUUAUUCAACUAAUAAAUUAAUACCAAAUCAGUUUAUACAAAAUAAAUUUGUACAAGUUCUUGUGAUUGUAUCAUCACUCAAAGAAUAAAAUAAGAGAACAAUUUAUUAUAAAGUGAUUUUAUUUAUUCUAAAUGUGUACAAAGAGUGAUGAUACAAACUUAUCUUGCACACACUUAAAAUGAAUAAAAUCAUUUUAUAAUGUAUUGUCAUCUCAUUUUAUUCUUUAUCUUAUGUUACUUCUUUAUUUUGUGUUGCUGACUAAUAACUUUUUUAAUAAAUAAGAGAAAAUUAUUUUACUAUUAUUAACCUAAAGUUUCACAAACUUCACCGCAUACCGAUGCAAUAAAUAAGCUAUCAUUUGAUUGGAAAUUGUUAAAACAUCAUUAGAAAGAUAAUACGAAAUCAAACUCAUUGGUUAACUUGGGGCAUUUUUAAUUACUAAAAUUGAGUGAUUGGAUCAGGUUUUUGCAUAAUAUCUCUUUGAUUUUUGCGAUUCAAACUUAAGAGAUAUGCCAGCCAUAAGCUGUUUUCAAUUUUUAGAGAUGACAAAGAUACAGCAUGAUUCAUUAUUGUAGCCAACCCAUUUGGUACUUGCAGCCAACCCAUUAUGUUUAAAUAAUAUGUAUCUUAUAAAUGAUAUUAUAAUAAAAGAUCUGGUGGGAUGAGUCCUCUAUGAUACGAUGAGCCGUCGAACAAUCUAGACUCAAAAUGAGCCGAAUCUACUUUCAAAUAUUGGCGAAAAAAUUCAUCACCACGAGCAACCCAUUGGGUUAAAUGAUCGUUUUCUUGGUAGUGAUAACAUGAACAUCAAACUCACUCAAAACUAAAACAUUAUACUAACAACAUGCUAUCCGUACUCAAGCUAAUACCCUUCAAUCCAGAAACAAAGAACAUAUCCAGCAAUGCAUAAAACAACCUAUCCAGAAACUAAAAUAAAUAAAGCCAACCAGUAAAGCAACCGCUUCUCGUUAUAAUAACUAUUUUCCAUGUUUAACUAAUGAAUUAACAGUUUCAGUAACCUGAGUUGUAAUCAAUAGAAAGAAUAAGAGAUCUGACACAUUGUAAACGGUUACCUUUGCUGCAAUUCCUUUUAAAACCUGACAUCAAUAUAUUAGAAAGCCAUUGUACUUGAAUAUUUAAAAAGCAAGCUGCAACUGAACUACAAAACAGUAAAUCAAUUAAUUAAGUCAACAGUGGUUCAAAAAUAUGCGUAUGGAAAUGUAAGAAAUAAAGUUUCCCAAUCACAGCUAAAUAAACUCAUAAAGACAGUGGACACCUUAAUAAGUAUAAAGGUUUUACUUAAAGACUGCUUGCUGGCGCCCAUCUGGGAUUGCAAAGAGAACCACUGGCUUUGAAGAUCUGGUAAAAGGAACAUCGCAUCUGAAGUAGCCCUUCCUCUCCAGUUGCAAAAUCUCUCCCCGCUUCAGAUUCCGCAUGUUUGAAUCUCCAAUAGCUGCAGUCUCAAAUCUUGUACAGGGGUUGAGCACAUCAAGGAAGUCCUCUCCUUCUUCCAGCUGCAUCAACAACAAUUAUAAGCAUCAAUAAAACAGCUAACUUCAUAUACAUGACAACUGGCAUGUCAAGUUACACGCACCAUGAUACUAGAAUGUUAAGACAGCCCUGUACCAACGCCAAUAUGCAAGCCCCAUACCCAUACAUGAAGUAUCCCUACUACUAAAUUUUGACCAUUUCAAAUCGAUGGCUUCAAUAUUGAAAUUAAUGUAGAAGUAAAGGAAUAAAUCUGAUGGCUACAAUAAGUCACAAAUUCACAUCAUUCCAGAUACCCAAUUUCAAUAUUGCACAGUUUAAAACAUCAGAAAGAUCUUGUGCAAGGAAAAUUCUGAUUAUCAUUAUGUACCUUCUUCUUUGUGAUUAGAUAGUCAAAGCCAACCAAUGUGAGGUUAACUAACUCAUUUGUCUCAGGUAGCCAUGUGAGCUUCAACUUUGUGGUCUUGACAGAUCCUUCAAGAUGCAAAAAGCCCGAUAAUUGUGUAACAUUUCCAUCCUGGUCCCUACUAAUUUCUUUUACUAUGGCAUUCCCCCAAUCCAUUAAAGUAAUUUCCUCAUUCACAGAAAUCAGCUGAGCAUCUGCAUGGUCUAUCCAUAUCCUUUUUGUGUAUGCCGUAGCUUUUUCUCCUGCACCUUCAUACUUCUUAUGCCUUGGAAUUAUACGCACAAAUGGUUUAUCAGGGCCGUCAGUUAGAGUCAGCAGUACACGUCUGUCUUCAAUGACAGCAGUAUGUCUAGGACAAACAGGAUCAAUGAUCUUCUUAUUAAUGGUCCAAAGUUUGUCCCAUUCCAUAAGAUUAAGAUUUUUCGAAGCACCCUGCAAAAAUAAGGAUUCAAAAGUUAAUCUUCUACUUAACAGAUCUCAAUGCAUAACAUAUGCAGCAAGUCCACAAGAACUGAAAAUGCAUGAGAUGUGAAAAUUCUUAUAGUUCAACUACAUCAUCUUACCUGUUCAAGAAUAAACUGGAUCAAAGCCUCAACCAGCAGACCCCUACGUACAAUUCCUUGGACAGUAGGAAACCGAGGAUCAUCCCAUCCAUCAACUUUUCUGUUUUGUACAAACCAGAGAAGCUUGCGCUUGCUGAGAAGUGUAUACACCAUGUUCAAUCUGCUAAACUCAUAAAUAUGAACCUUUCUUACACCCAGAUCCUCCUGAAUCCUAUAGUACUGUGCAUUGCGAUCAUGGUACUCACUAGAUCUGAGUGCAUGUGUUAUUCCUUCUUUAGCAUCAACAAAAGGACAAGCAAAAUCAUAUGUUGGGUAUAACUUGUACUUGGACCCAAUUCGAUGGUGGGGAACCGGAUUGCAACGAUAAUAGACUGGAUCUCGAAGAGAUUUGUUGGGAUCUUGCAUGUCUAACUUCCCACGAAGACAGCACUCCAAACCCCUUUCAGAUCCUGCAAUCAUUUCUUUCCACAAUUUCAUAUUCUCCUCAAUGCUGUUGUUUCUGCAUUUUGAUUCUAUCCCGUCCAUCCUUUCUUUCUGCAUUUGCUCACGAGGCGUGUCAUCAACAUAAGCCUUGCCCUGACGAAUCAAAUUCUCAGCCAUUUCCAUCAAAUCAGGAAAGUAGUCUGAAGUGUAGGUUACUGUUUCAUAUUUGAUGCCCAAUGUCUCAAUAUCUUUAAGAAGAUUGUCCACAAAUUCAUUGCUUUCUUUAGCAGGAUUUGUGUCAUCAAAACGCACAAUCAGCUGACCUUGGUACCGUUGCGCAAAAUACUGGUUCAGUAGAGCUGCUUUUGAGUGCCCGAUGUGAAGAUAACCACUUGGUUCUGGAGCAAAUCGCAAACGCACUUUGCCAAUUUCAGCAUCAGGAAGAUCCACUUCAAAAGAAGAACGGCUGCCAGCUUUUCCCUUCUCAGAUACAUCCCCUUUCACACCCUGUUGUUCUUUUGACUUGGCUGCAGUUGGCUUUCCCAACCCUCUUUUACUGACAUAUGUUGCUGUCACUUCAUCCAAAGAAUCACUAUAUUCUGCAGAUAACGAGUUGAACCAACGCACUAGAUUCUGGUACUUUUUUGAUUUCCUCAAACUAUCCCAUCUUUGCCCAGUUCCUGGGUGGAUCCAAAAUUAAGCAUCUAUUACUAUUUGGAGCACAGAAUAACAAAUUUUAGGUGUUCAAAAUGAAGAAGAAACCAUGGAAAGUUCAAUCACUGCGUGCACCCAACAAAAUGCAAAAUCAUAAAUAGGAGAAAAGAAAUAGUGAUUUGUUUUGUAUAUCUUCAGAGAAAACUGAACCCAUAUGCAUUAUCCGCUAAAGAGUAAAUCUUGCAUAUAUUUUUUAUUUUUGGUCUUAAUGGUGCCACAUGCUUAGUAUUCAAGAUAAAUACACAAGUUUUGAAACCUUUACCAGCAAGAGCUGACCAGAUAGCUAUGUCCACAAUUGAUAAACUAUGGCCAACUACGAAAGUACGUCUCUCAAGAUACUUAUCCACAUAGGUGCAUGCAUUUUCAAAUUCGGAACCAGAUAAAAAGACUGGAGUAUAAUCCAGCCACUCAUCAAUCUGAAAAAAGACAAAAGAAAAGAAAAGGAUUUGAAUUACAAUCUAAGCGUCUCUCCAAAAGGGGAGAAAAAUUGACAUUCUUAUAUUCAUCAAAUUAAGAAUAAUUACCUCACCAGCUUCACAUGCAUUCUGACCAUAGAAAUUGGCAACACGACCGAUAUAACGGAGAAGAACAUAAGUUCCUUGCAAUUUUGACCUGCAGUACAUAAAACGUGAGUACAUUCUUAGUCAACUUAUAAUUUUCUUUUCUUUGCUAAGAAAUAUAACCUGAUUAUUUUAAAAGACAGAUAUUAGAAAAGAGAAACACAAAGAUUGGACAAUCAUGCCAUUCUCAUAUCGAAACUAUUGGCUACAAGACCAAAAGAAAUCAAUAAACUCUGAACAUAUUCAAAAGGGUUUCUUUCUACCUAAAUGCCCAAAUGCAUUAAAACAUGAAAAAAUAAAACCAGCAACAGAUCAUAAAUACCCAUUUGAGAAAGAAAACGUAGGAGCAGAGCCUGAUGUUUCAGUUGGUAUCGUGAUUCCCGCAAGCUUGGCAGCAGCAAUGACCGAUAGUGGAGGGCUGUCGGCCGGAAAAGAUAACACCUUAAUCUCCAUAGUCAUCACCUGCACUAUCAAAACACCAAUAUCAAGAUAAAACAGGAACAAUAAACAAAGCAGCUGUCAUGUAAGACCGAAAUCACAAGAGCUUAGCUGUUAAAAGAGAUUUAAGCAUCUACAUAUAUAGACUUUUAGAGAGAGAACUUUGAAAAAGGGGAUGGUGGGUUAGUGGAAAUUUCUUUUGUUCCCACUUGGGGUUUUAUCAAAAAUGUAACAUUGACGCUACAGCCCACAGGAUUAGACCCUACAAAAGAAAAAAGUAAGUUGAAUAUGUAUUCUUAAAAAUUACAAAUAAAAAUUAAAAAAACAAAACAGGAGACUCAUAUGACCAAUGAAAAUUACAUACACUAUUUAACAAACUGCGUAAUAAAAUUUCUAAUCCGACAGAACCUAUCAGUUCAUGGAUAUUAGAGAAGAGUAAAGUCAAGUCAAGCGAGAACACAGUAUGCGGCGGGCCGGGCCGGGAUUUGAACCCGACCCGGGACGGCCCGAUUGAACGUUCGAGGGAAACUGAAAAAUCGUGACAUCAACCAUUCACAUUACCAAAGCAAAGCAGCGACAAGAGUUGAUGAAAAAAAUAAUAAAAUUUAAAAAAAAAAAAUCAUAUUUCACAGUACGUACUAAAAGCAAAGCAACAAAACUCAAAGUAGAUAAUUAAAAUUAGCACGCACCAAAGCCAGCAGGACGAGCGCUGGCUGCUGUAGAGAGCUGGUGGUGGCGCGGCGGGUUGCUGGACGGGUGUGGCGGUGGUGAGGCAAUAAUAAGGCGGCUGGCUGUCUUGAGAGGGAUGCUGCAGUUUUAGGUUGUGGGGUAAUAUGUGCUGCUGCUGUUUCUGGUCAUGGGGGUAAUUUGGACCUCUCCAAGUUACGUUUACCGUAACUUACAGCCAGUUGUUAUAUGAUUGGUUGGCCAAUAAACAGAUGCCAAGUGAACAUAAUAUCAAUAAAAUGAAACUGGUUCUAAUUACGGUUGGAGUCCGGUCACCAACAUGUGUCAACGGGAGAAAUUCCCUUCUAUAGCCGGUCAUGACAAAAGUUAACCAUCAAAUUAAGAACACGCCAUAACGUUAAGCAAAAUCGAUUCUAUCUCUUUCCAACACAAUCCUCCUCAAAAUUCACUGCCAACCUCCACCACCGAAUUCCAGCCGCCUGGAUUUCAAUGAUUCAAAUCCAACUUCAAAGUCGGAGUUUUUAUUCGGUCCCAAGCAAAAUCCAGAUGGAAAACCAAGUUUGGAGACGGCAAAAUCAGUUUCUAGUUGUGAUUUUCUUCGAGUCCAAACAAAACCCAGAUCAAGAAAUUGAUUGCAAAGAAAAUAGCAGAUAUGGGUCUGUUUUUGCUUCUAUUCUUGUUGUCUUUGCUUCUGUUCUUGUUGUCGGCUUAGGGUUGUUGUGUGUUGAUUGAAGGCUGUGAGGGCUAAAAAUUUUCUUGUGUUGAGUGAGGUGAAAUGAAGAAACAGAGAGAUGAAAAAUGGUGCAGAUGAAAACUAAAAUUCACAAGUUCAUAACCUAAUUAUUUCUUUAUUACACAUAUAUACCUACAGAAGUUGGAGCAUGGGUUUCUUUCAUCAAUUCGAAGCUUAAGAUUAGAGCAUGAAAGGAUCAAAAUUUACAACUUAAUCACUGUUCAUCGAUGCUAAUAAAUGGGGAAAAAAUUUGAAUACAUAGAAAAUACUUGGACCGAAUUAAUUGCAAAAUCGCUAUUGAAAAUCCAAAGAAUGGAUGAAAAAAAGAAGAAGUAAAUUUAAUAAGACACGGGAAGCAAAAUUAACGACGGAACAGAAUGAUUUAUGUAUUAGUUUUACAAGAAAAUUUGUUCAUGGAUUACACAAGUUAUAAAGCACGGGAAAUUCUAAGUAAAAAGGGGAUUGAAAUUAAGUUAUAGAAAUAAUUAUGAUAAUAAAUGUUUAAAAUUUGUAAUUACCUGGUUAAAUUUGUUGCAGAAAAAUUGCUUUGAUUGAAGAAGAAGAAGAAGGAGAGACGAGGGAUAACUUAAAAUGACCAGUUCAGCCAGUUUACCACUUAUUACUACUUUUCGAAAAUUUUGAUGUCAUCCGUUGGAUCCAUCUUAAAGCACAUUCAACGUUCUUAGAUUCGCUGGGCUGUAAGUUACGUAACUUAGGCAUUGCCGGGUAAUUUUUAUCCUUUUUAUAAAUAUUCACACAUAUUAAUAGUUUUUUGGCCCAUAAUUUAAAAGUUUAAAAAAAUUUAAGAAAAUUUUAAAACCAUAAAAUUUAAUAAUAUUAUGAAAUUAAAAUUUAAAAGUGAUUUUUAAAAAUUUUCUGAAUUUUUUCAUACUUUAAAAUUUUGAAUUAAAAAGAUUAAUAUAUAUAUAUAUAUAUAUGUGUGUGUGUGUGUUUGUGUGUGUUUAUAAUGUUUAAUCAUUUCUAGUGAGGGUAUUCAUGCACUAAUUAAUUAAAAACAUAAAUUUUAAUAUAUUAACAAGAAAUAAUAUAAUUUUUAAUGUAUUAAAAUCUAUAUUGUUUUAUAUUUUAGUGAUGCUCACAUUAGGGAAAGACUCUUAUUAUGUUUACUAAUAAAUAUAAAUAGAGCCUCCUCAAACUUUUGUCCCAAGUAAUUUUGUAUAAAAAGAAACUUUUCUUAAAAUAUAAAAAGAAAUUAUUGUCCCAUGUAAUUCUAUAUAAAUAAAAAUGCCAUGAUUGUAUUAGUCGAAUGAAAAUAUAAAUUAAUUAAUCAAUACAAAUAGAUAGACUAAAAAUUUAAAAUAUAUGUGAUAGAUUAUUUAAUAGAUUUUGCUUAACUCAAAUGUGCUUUUGAAACCCGUUAUCAAAGAGAAAUUUAUUAAGCAAAUAUUUAUCAAAUCAUUGUUUUUUGUUAAAAAUUAUGAAAUAAAUCAUUUUUAGUGUUUCAACCGUAUUCCCAUCCCAAAUUGAGUCCUGAUUUUGAGCCAUGCCUACCAGAAGUGGCAUCAACAGUGUCCUAAAUAUAGUUUAUAAACAUGUAAACUAAUUUUUUUACCACGAUAUGUUACAUUUAUUUUUUAUUUGAAUAUUAAUUUAAAGACAAAAUUUCUUUUUUCGUUUAUUUAUAUUAUAGUAAUAUAAUAUGUUAAUGUUACAAUCAGAUAUUUAUCAUCUCCAAAUUCGUAUAAUUAUGCAGAGUUUAAGCUUUAUACACACACACACACACACGGGGUAAAUAAAGAUUUUUCUACAAAUAAAUGUUUACAAAGUUUGAUCCUUAUUAGUUCGAACUGAAAGCUGGCGCAUGCAUAAAGUUUAGCCAGGUUUGCUCCAGGGGCAUAAUAAUAAUAAUAACACACAAAAUUUUGAUCUAUUGAUAAUUUCUCAAGAGCAACCGAACGCUAUUAAAGUAUUUGUUUAAUGAAUCUUCUUUCUUCUUCGUAACGCUGUUUUGAUUGUAUUUGAACAGAUCCCAUUUGCCUGUGAAGAGUCAAAAAGAAAAAAAAAAUAUUUAUAUAUACAUAUCCAAAACCAAACGUAACUGUCUUGUCUUCUGUCUGAUGUGUCCUAAUGCCAUUAUCCCAAAAAUAUCCAUUGGUUACUCGCAUUCCUAGGAUCACCCCAGAUCCGCAUUUCACUCUGUAUGUGUGUAAUUUUAUCUUGUGUGUCACAUAACUAAUCUUUAUGUUCAAUAAUCUUUUGGAAAACUUUUGGCCAGUUUUGUUUCUGGUUCCUCAGUUGGAUACCAACUUAGUUGUUUUGUCUUUACCCAAUUCGGACCAGAAUUUCUCGGGUCCUAAAUUCUCCAACUUAAUCUAAUAAUCUUUCUAUGUACAUUCUCAAAUUUGGUUUGCUAUUUUUUUUUUCUUUUUUUGAUCUUGUUGUAUAAUGUCCUUCAUUUUCUGAGUAAAUGUCCUUCAUUUUCUUUAAAAAUGGUUUUUUCAAUUCAGUUCAUUUGAUUUGGGGAUCUGGGAAUUUUUUGUGUUCAUAAAAAAAGCAUAAAAAGUUUGAAUCUUUUAACUGAUUCGGCUGUUUUGGGAUCGGGGUUCUUGUGGGAUAUUUGAAAAAUUGAUUCUUUUUGCGUUUUUUGGAUCUUUGGUAUCUCACAUUUUGAGAAGAAUGUGAGGUGUUUGGGGUGAUGAAUUUCAAAGAGCUCAAGCAUUUGCGUCAUUUGAUUUUGUGUUUUAAUGAGUAAUGUGCGAAGAAAUAUUUGAAUCAUACGGUUUCUUGUUUCGGAACAAGAGACCGUGACUGAUUUGGAUAAGCAUUAUGGGCUGCAUUUGCUCGAAAGCAAUUCGAGCGAAGAAAUAUAUUGCUAAAAACAAUGCCAAAGAGAAGGAAUUAACCAAGAGAACAAACAAACGAUUAGGUUCCUUUAAAAAGGAGAAUGUAACAGUAGUUGUGGAAACGGAUGGUAUUGGCAAUGAAUCCACCACAAGGUUGAUAAAUGAUCAAUCUGUUGCUGAUGACGAUGUGGGGUCAUCCGACGAUGGGGAGAAGAAGGUUAAGCUUCAAAGGCGCAGCACCAUAAAUGUGCAAGUGGCGCAACCUCGGAUGACUAGGAUCGUUAGUGUGAGCAAUGGGGAGAGAGGGGCUCAGGUUGUUGCUGGUUGGCCUUCUUGGCUGACUGCUGUGGCUGGAGAAGCCAUCAACGGAUGGGUGCCAAGAAAGGCUGACUCUUUCGAGAAGUUAGAUAAGGUUAGCUGAUUAUCCCGCCUUUUGAUAUGAUUUAGGUUUUGAUUUAUUAUUUUUGGUUCUGGUUGUAAUGGAUUAUAUGAAAUUUUAUGGCAUGUAGGAAGUGAGUGUAUACCUUUCUGUUGUAUUUUUUUAAUUCUGUUCUGCAGUAAAUGGUUAGCUUUUCUAUCAGAAGGUGUGAUUCAGAGUAAGUCAAUUUUGAUUUCUUUAAUUAAAACAUGUUUGCACGUGUAGAGUUCAAAACUGGGAUGAUAUCUCUAUGACUAGCAACAUAAAGUCCUUGUUUUCUGGAUUUUUAAUAAUACUUUUAAGCCAAUGGUGCAGAUUGGACAAGGAACUUACAGCAGUGUAUAUAAAGCCCGAGAUCUGGAGAACAACAAGUUGGUUGCACUGAAGAAAGUGCGGUUUACUAAUAUGGAUCCAGAAAGUGUUCGUUUUAUGGCCAGAGAAAUCAUUAUUCUGCGUAGACUUGAUCACCCAAAUAUCAUGAAGCUUGAAGGUCUAAUUACUUCCAGGGUGUCUGGAAGUUUAUAUCUUGUAUUUGAAUAUAUGGAGCAUGAUCUUGCAGGGCUUGCAGCAACACCUGGGGUGAAGUUCACUGAGGCACAGGUUCCUUCGUUUUCCCUUCUAGUUUUAGCUACUGAGACAUAAAUUGCAGUGAUAGUAAUGUGCAUAAUCAUAUUUAUUGUUACAAGAACUAAAGAAGUAAUAUUUGAAAUGACUUUCCUACAAAAUCUGGGUAAUAGCCUGUUACAUUUGCAACCUUUGCAAGUUUAAGAAAUAAGUGACUGUAAAGGUGGUGAGAUUUCUUUUCAUUUAAAGAUCAUAUCAUUUUGCAUGCCACAGAGGUUUUGCAUUGUGCAUUAUUUGUCACUUUGAUGCUUCCUUAUUCAACAGCAAGUUUUAACCAGAAAGAAUGAACCUAGAGUUUUUCCCCUUUAUUUAGUUUCCAAUGUCGGAUUCUAUUCUUUGGCCUUGCAGAUAAAAUGUUACAUGAAACAACUACUUCAUGGACUUGAGCAUUGCCAUAGCCGUGGAAUUUUGCAUCGUGACAUCAAGGGCUCUAAUCUUCUGAUAGACUAUAAUGGAAUUCUCAAGAUUGGUGAUUUUGGGCUGGCAAAUUUCUUCAAAUGUUCUCAGAAGCAGCCUCUAACAAGUCGGGUAGUAACUUUGUGGUACCGACCACCCGAGCUUUUGCUUGGUUCAACCGACUAUGGAGCUUCAGUAGAUUUGUGGAGCAGUGGUUGCAUUCUCGCAGAAUUAUUUGCUGGGAAGCCUAUCAUGCCUGGAAGAACAGAGGUACUAUUCCUAGCCUGUUCUUUUAAGAGUACUUACUAUUUAUCAUCUCCAUCAAUUGCCUGACACAUUGUUAAUCUUGCAUCCAGAAAUUUCUUGCAGUACAGCAGCAAUUUGAUAACUCUCUGGGCAUUUUUUGUGUGUUAGGUGAAUAGACACAGAGAUAGUUUGUCUGUCUGUCUGUCUGUUUUAUUGCAUUUUUUAUUCUCAUUGAUCUUUCUAUUCGUUGACUUAUAAGAGUUAUGAGCAACUCAUAAAUUACAUCCUUGCCAAAGGGGCAGCUCUCAAAUUCCAUCCACAACCAGUUAUUAGAUGUUUUGCACAUGUAGUCUUUAGUGAAAUUGAUAGGAUGUGAAAUCCCUUAAUUUAUCUUCUAUAGGUAGAGCAACUGCAUAAGAUCUUCAAACUUUGUGGGUCACCAUCUGAAGAGUACUGGAAGAGAUCGAAAUUGCCGCAUGCCACCAUUUUCAAACCACAACAACCUUACAAGCGUUGUGUUGCUGAGACAUUUAAGGAUAUUCCUUCUUCAGCAUUGUCUCUUUUGGAUAUUCUGCUCUCAACAGAACCUGAGGUUCGUGGAACAGCUUCUUCUGCACUUCAAAAUGAGGUAAAUUUUUGGGACUCGAGAUGUUUAUUACCUUGUUAAGGAGUUUGCUCAGAUUGAUUGUGCACACUAAAGCAUUCCUUGCAAAUUUUUCUGUUUUCCAGUUUUUUACGACAAAGCCUCUUCCCUGUGAUCCAUCUAGUUUGCCUAAGUACCCACCUAGCAAGGAGUUUGAUGUCAAACUUCGAGAUGAUGAUAGAAGGUGAUAAUUUCCUGAAUCUUUAUAUAAUUUAGUUUUUAUUUAAUGGCCUCUUUUACUGCUUAUGGCCUUUUCAUUGGUUUGCAAAAUCUGAUAUCCAUAUCUUACAGGCUUAGAGCCUCAUGAAAAUUAUUUGAUUUACAAAAUUUGGAUAGAAUUACACCCCUUACAGAAAUUUUUACCAGUAUGGAGUGGUAACUAAGCUCUGAUUUGUUAGUGUAAUCAGUGGUAAAGAAAUUUUUUUCUGGCAAUUAGGUUCCUUCGUAUUCUUUUUUGACUGGAGGAUAAAUUGCAGUUACUUGGCAAAGCAGUAAUCUCAAUAACAAGAAUUUAUUUCACUAGCAUGAUAAAUGAUUUUAUGGCUUAUCCAGGAGAGGAGGAGGUGGAAAAGGACGAGGUCUUGAGUCAAUUAGGAAAGCUGGCAAAGAGUCUAAGGCUGUGCCUGCACCAGAUGCCAAUGCUGAGUUGCAGACGUCCAUACAGGUAAUACAUUCAUUCUAAAGUUUAUUUUUAACUCCCUCAUUUUCAUGCCAUGGCUGCAUCCAUAUUUUUGUGCAUGUUUACAAAAUUCUAAUUUCUCUAACGAUUAUACUUUUUUGGACUGAUACAGAAGCGACAAAAUCAGAGUAAUCCUAAGGCCACUAGUGAACAAUUCAAUUCCGACGAGGAUAGUGGUUCUGGGUUUCCUAUUGAGCCUCCCAAAGGAAUUGGAAGGAAUGUUGGUGGGCAAACAAUGAAACCCACUACCGUCGGGGCUUCACUGAAUAUGACAAUGGACAGUGACAGAAAUUCAAGAUCUUACAUGCAUCCUGGGGCAGCUGGGUUAUCCAGAUUUGCCAAUUCCGUUGCAGUUAGAGGUGGCCAUUCCCAGUUGGAUUGUAGCAAUAGAGUGAAUUCACAGUGGUCAGAUGACUCUGGACAUGAGUGGUCCCAAAAUUUGCUGGACAGACCAAUGUCUUCAUAUAACAAGAAGGGCGAAAAGCCUUCUGGAAAGGAGUCUAAGACGGUAAGGAAAUUUUUAAUUAAAUUUAGAUUGAAAGAAAAUCAUUUAAUCUGGAUAAAUGAUCUAUAUAUCUGUUUAUAUAUUGCCAAGGGCAUCCCAGAAUUACUGAAUCUUUAAUUUAAGUUUUCAAGAUACGGAAACAUCCACGGACCAUUUAUUUUAAGAGACCUUCAUUAAUGACAAGAGCCUUUCAUUCUAUUUUGAAAACUUUGUGGACCCUCCUUUACUAAAGCAAAACCACAGAAACAUCCACUAUACAUUUUCACGCACAAACCAACAUGAAUCAAUCUGAUCUGGAUAUGUGUUUUUUUUUUUUUUUGAUAUUCAAGAAGCUGCUUCAAAUACUCUUGAUUUAGGCGGUCUAGUGGCUGAUCUUGAGACUAUGGUGCCGGACUUCUUGAAAUUUUAUUAAAGAUGCUAAAAAACUUUUAACUGUUGGGCAUGUUGGCCUGGCAGUUUGAAAUGUUCACUAUUUCUCGCAAAUUGAUUGAACAAUCUAAUCUCACUGUUGUGCUGUGUUUUAUGAUUUUAACCACUCAUUAUAGACUUCUAGAAUUAUGGACUAACUUUUUAGUCUUUUUGUUUGACAGCAAGAUUAUGCUUCCAAGAAGACCCGAAUGCAUUACUCUGGGCCGAUACUGCCUCCAGGAGGAAACCUCGAGGAAAUGCUCAAAGAGCAUGAGAGACAAAUCCAGCAGGCAGUUCGCAGAGCUCGAGGGGACAAGACCAAGGCCCAGAAAAAUGGCGAAAGUGGACACACACAGUCUCUUCUUCACUACGGAAGAAACGGCAGGUGACACUAGAAAUGAAGAUCAUAAAUGCCUCAAUUUUGAUGCAGAACAUCAGUGCAGAAUUGCUUGAUUACACAUUAGGAAGAAGUACCCCUUCUGGGGAUCUGACUAGUCUCACCACGGUUAAAAGGCUAUGGAUUUCGGCCCACCAAAUGAAUAAUUUUUACGAUCAGAAAUUCAUUUUGAAGUUCUAACCAUAGAAAUUCUUUAGAUGAUUUAACUAGGUGGGUAACUGAAAGCAGAAUUUAAUCCAUUGCCAAGUGUAUGAUACCAUGUGGUGAUUGGUUUUUUUGAGGUUUGGCAUAACAGUCAAUUCUUUAGUUGUUUGAGGAAGAGUUCUCUUAGGCAAUGUUCAAUUGUUAGAGCUAUGCCUUGUACAGGUAAAAUUUUUUCAAUUAUAUAUAUAUUUGUUUUUACCUCAUUCUCUGUAUGGAUUGAGUGAUCUUUCAAAAUAUAGUGAAUGAAGAAGCAGAAUCACUAAACGUUAUGUUUAUCCGAGGUUGUGCUUGAGUGUGCCUUUUGCAUGAACCACUUUUGAACAAGACAGCUUAUUUAAAAGCAUUCACCAAAAUUUUAUUAGGAGAAGGUGCUGACGUAUAGGGUAUCAAAGUGGGGGGAACCUUAGGUGCAACUGUGGCACCGUGCCACAGUUGUAUCUAACCGUUGGAUGUCAGUGGACCCUACCAAUCCAACUGCAUCCAACGGCUAGAUGCAACUGUGGCACGGUGCCACAGUUGCACCGUAGCCUGAUCCAUCAAAGUGUUUCUUAUUUGUUAAAAGUUAAACCUGAAACUACAUUUUUGUUUAUUUUAACAAAAAUUGCAAAUAGUAAAACAAACAAGUGUUUGCUAUUUGACAAGAUUUUAUGCAAAUGAAAAUGACCUAAGUAGUUGACAGGCACUUAGCAUGGAUAUGAUUGAUGGAUUUACCAAGAAUCAUUUCAAAAAUUUAAAAUAGAAAUAUUCAAAAUAUUAUAAAGAUGAUGCAUAAUUAACCAAGUAGUGAAAUUGAAGAUGUUGUUUUAAUUUCAACUUAAAUACGUGUUAGUCAUAUAAUGGGUUUUAGAUAUUUCAACCAAUGAUUGCACAAUCAUCAAAAAAAAAAAUUACAAACAAAAUGAACACAUUCUCAUAAAAAAUUCUACAAAACUUGAAGUUAUCAAAAUAUUAACCGUCCUUUUAUAUAAUAACUAUUAAGGAGAUGCAUCAUUUUCAACUUCAAAUCUAGCGCAGCAGAAGCAAUUAUACAGAAGGAAAAUGAUGAAACUUUCAAUCACCAAAUGAACAAGAAACAGAAUAUGAUAAAAUUACACUUCACCAAACAUGGCAGAUGCAACAACCACUUUCAUAUUGCUUCAUGCAAAAUCAUAGUAGCUUUCUUGUCUUCAUCAUUCAUCAUCCAACGUUUCCUCACUUCAUCUAGAAGCAUUACGACUUACAAAAUCAAUCACAUUUCCUUCACCAAUUUAUUUCAAGCCUAGUUGCUGCAGAAGAUCAAUUCUCGAGUUUAUCUGCUUCUGCAUAUUCUUUGCGAAAGUAACACAUAUCUUGCACAAACAAUGAGGUCUAAAGCCAACCAAGCACUCAACUUUAAAGUGCUUCUACUGGGUAUUUUCCUUGCUUUCUUGCUUCUCUUUGUGGUAAGAUCAAGUUUAUCAUUGUCAAAAGAAAACCCAUCUCCCAUGUCAAAAACCCCUUUACCAAAAGCAUCGAAUGUCAAGACAAUUGCAGAAGCAGAAGCAGAAGCAGCAAACUGCUCACCAACUUGUACAAAGAUCCCACGCUCCUUGGCACAAGCACUUAUUCACUACUCAACUUCAACAAUUACCCCACAACAGACGCUCAAGGAAAUCUCAGUGUCCGCAAGAGUACUCGAAAAGAAGGCUCCUUGCAAUUUCUUGGUUUUCGGCUUAGGCCAUGACAGCUUGAUGUGGAGCACACUCAAUUAUGGCGGCCGUACAAUAUUUCUCGAAGAAGAUGAAGCUUGGAUAGAGCAGAUUAGACGGCGGUUUCCCAUGCUGGAGUCCUAUCAUGUCACAUAUGAUAGCAAGGUAAACCAAGCCGAAAACUUAAUGGAUGUUGGCAAAGGACCUGAAUGCACAGCAAUUGGUGAUCCUAAAUACUCAAUGUGCCAACUUGCUCUUAAAGGACUUCCUGCUGAAGUUUAUGACAUAAAAUGGGACUUGAUCAUGGUUGACGCUCCAACGGGUUACUAUGAAGAGGCACCGGGGAGGAUGACAGCUAUAUACACUGCAGGGAUGAUGGCGAGGAACAGGGAGGAUGGAGACACUGAUGUGUUUGUGCAUGAUGUGAACAGGGAGGUGGAAGAUAAUUUCUCCAAUGCAUUUUUAUGCGAAGGAUACAUGAAGAAACAGGAGGGAAGGAUAAGGCAUUUCAAUAUUCCAAGUCACAGAGAUGGCCUGGAGAGGCCAUUUUGCCCGGAGUAGGAUCUUUUUUCAUCUAUUUCCAUUUUCCUACAUUUAAAUGCUGUUCUUAUUCCAAUUUUUACCGAAGGAAACUUAAGUACUCAUUUUCAUGAUUGAAGAUAUCCCUGGGUUGAGUAAUUACAAAUUACAAGCAACAAGCAUAUUUGAGAACAUGUUCUUUUUCUUUGAAUGAACUAUCACAAGAUUCAACAAUGUACAAUAACAUCAGCUUGCAUCAACUUCGAAAGCUCAAUUACGUCAAGUUUCUGCUGUUUGGACUGAGUCCAUCGGGAUAAACUGCAUUAUAUUUUGUGCACUAGAAGAAUUGCUUACCCAAAAAAGGGGGGGGGGGGGGGAAUCCUUCCAUAAUGCAAUAAGAAAAAGAGUCAAUGAACUAAACAGGGUUAAAAGCGUAUUAAUUCUAUAAUUCCCAUGUAUUUUACCAGAUCCACAACAAAAGACAAAAAGUGUAAUUCAGAAUAUGGUAACCAUUUCACCUAUAAAAGAACAACCAGCAAGUUCUUUCACUAUCAAAAGGCAGUUGCAUCUAUCAUACCAUCAGUUUCCCAGGCAGCAACUUUCCAUACACCAAAUGUACUCCAGCACUUGAAAAUUUAAAUAUUCUCCCAAAGCAGUAAGCACAACAUUAUCACUAUGAUUCUUCCAAAGCAGUAGGUACAACAAAAUCACUAGCUUUCCAGUCAAGAAAAUCAUUCUUCAGAAAUCUCUUCUAAGCCGCAGUUUGACUACCUAUAAACAUAAAAGUAACUCAGAU